UUUAUUUGUUUUUGUCAUCUACCUAUGAAGAGUGUUUUCGAAAAUCAAGUGCGAAAAAAUAUGUAGAAUUUAUGAAAACUAAAAUUAGUUAUGAAGUGAGGCCUUAGUGAAUACUAAUUUAUUUCAUAUAUAUUUCAAAUAUGUAACAGUAUAAUUUAUAAUUAAUUCCAGUUUGAUAUAUAAAUGUUCAUUUUAAUUAGUUUUUGCUUUUUGAAAUAUAUGGUUGUUUCCUCCCAAAUUUUCAAUUAUGGUUUUCAUCAAUUUUAAAUUCUAAAAAUAAAAUCUAGUUUUUGAAAGAACCAUUAUAUUUCUUUUUAUAACUAUUGAGAACAUGGUUGGAUUUUUAAACAUCAGUAGAAUCUAAAUAACAACAUAUUGAAAAAUUCGUGAAGGAGAAAAAUCGUUCAUAAGCUUAAUUUUUAAAAACAAAAAAAAAAACAACAAAUUGAUUAUCAAAGGAGGUUUUGAUUAUUAAAGUAAUUUAGUAUGAAAGUACUUUAGUUUAAUCUAUUCUAAUCUAUGUUUUAACAAUAGAACUAAACUGUUAUGGAAUUUAAAGAAGCACUAAAAUUUUGGUUACAAAAUUAAAGCAAAUGAAUUAAAUAGACAAAUAAUAUUCAAGGACUAAAUAAAUUCUUACUGAUACAAAAAAAAGAAGUUGCAUGCAUCACAACACGUAGUGUCUUAAGAUAUCAGUAUACAUGGAUAAAGAAUAAUCAACUACAAUGGUAUCUAAGAAUUAAAGUUUAGAAUAUAUAAAAUAAAAUACAUGAGAGUUCACAUACCGAGAGUAUUGCAUUACUUGAGGUGAGAUGUAGAGACAAAUUAGUACAUACUUAAUCUUUGAAGAUGUUGCUCAUAUUGGAUAUUAUACAAAACGAAAAUAACGUAAACGAAAAGAACUCUAAGUAGUAACCCUAAUUCAUGCAACAAAUAUAAAGAUAUAAUUUUAAAAGUUAAAAGAAAUAGAAUAUUGAAAUUAAAACAUAUGUACCUUUGCAUGUGUAUUUGAAUCCUCAAAAUGAGAGAGAGAGAGAGAAUGGCCAACACAAGUUCAAGUAGUUCUUUCCUUUGUACCAAACUUUUAGAUGACACUCCAAUUUAAUUUGUCACAACUGAUCCUCCCUUUUUAUACACAUUUUCAUUUCCUCUUUCCCACACAAUAUCCACCAGCAGAGUGAGUGAGAGAGAUAAUUGAUGCCAAUCAAAGAGGAUCAUCAUCUUUUGAUAUUUUAAGAAUAAUAGAAUAAUGAUGAUUAUAUUUGGAGAAAUCUCUCUUUCUCUUUUUCUUUUUUCUUUUAAUUAAUUUAAGAAAGAUCCAAUAUAUGUUUUAGAGGGUAAAGUAACUUUAGAUUAAAAAUAAUUGACAUGACUUCUUCUAUCCUAUAUGUGAGAGGUUUGAUCUCUUCCAUCUUUGAUAAUAAUAAUAAUAAUAUAGACACAAACAUGUUAAUAUUUGAAGGUCACUAUGAUAAUUGUUUAAGUCUUGUUUGGUAACCAUUUAAAUUUUAAAAUUAUGAUUGUUUUUUUCCUAAUUUAUCUUAUUCGCGAGCAAAUAUUUGAACUAUUAUUAACUAAUUUUUAAAACAAAUAAGCUUUUUGAACUAUUUUUUUUUUUAGAUUUCAAAUUCUGGGUUUGAUUAAAAAAUCUUAGAAAUUAGAAAAUGUUUUAAGUUUUCUUAUAUAAAUUUUCAGAUAUCCAUUCAUUAAAUGUGACAGUGGAAAUUUAUGAACAAUCCACAUUUUAACAUUCAGCAAGGUUAAGAUGCUAAAUUAUAUAUAUAUAUAUAUAUAUAUUAGUAUAAAUUAAGGGAAGAGAUUUGAACACGAAGGUGGCUAAAUAUAUAUAUAUAUAUAUAUAUAUAUUCUAUUUAGGUUAUUAAAAUUUAUCUAUAAUAGUUAAACCAAUAUAAAAAUUGAAGUGAAUGAUUAUAUACAUAAUGGUCUAAAAUUUGAAACCCACCAUACAUACACAUAAAAACAUCAAAUCAAAUUAUAAAAUAUGCACACUCACAAGCCAAAAAGAAAAAAAACAUGAAAAAGUUCCCAACUUUAAGGGUAUGUUAUUUAAAUAUUUAUUCAUGAAGUGGUAAAAAUUUGGUAGAUAAACCUAAUCUUAAUUCUAUAAGUCGAAAUUGGGUGCUACGUAGGAUUCCAAACUAAUAUUAUAUUUCCCAAUCUAAACUUUAUACUUAUUUGAAUAUUAUUUAUUUAUUUUUAUAAUCUUAAAGUUCCAACGGGUAAGAUACUAUAUAUUUUACCUCACCAUUAAUUAUAUUUAUAGCAAUUUACAAUCCUUCUGAAAAAAAAAGCACUUUAUAAUCUUAUCGACAUAUCAUGAACAACAUAUACCACAAAUUAACUUGAUUUAAUAUAUCAUCUUUAUUAGUUAUAUAUUUACUUAGUAUCGUAUUUUAUCUAUUCUUAAUAUCUUUUAGGAAUACAAAAGUUACAAGUACACGUAACAUAUUCUAUAUAUAAUACUUAUAUCGAGACUCUUUAAGAGUUAAGGGCAGACAAAUUUGCAAAAAGAAGAAAGAGAAAAACAUAUUAAACCUCCAACUUUUCCUAUAUAAAACUUUCACACACCCUAAAAGCUUCAUCGGAUUAGGUGACAACAAUAUAAAAAACUCAAAAAUUUACACUUUACACUUUUUUUCAUAGAAUGGGAAGAUUUAAGGAGAUUUAUAAUGUUUUUUUUUUUUUUAGAGUUUAAGUGUAAUAUGCUUUAACUAAUCAUUUAAGUGAAAGAUUAAAUACAUUUAUUUGAACUUAAAAAUUGAAAUCAAGAAUAUUCUAUUGAGUUUAACAAUAUAAAUAGUGGGAAAUGUAGGAAAUGUAGGAAAAGAAUAAAUAUAAAAUUAAAAAAAAAAGUGUGUUUAUAAAGAGACUUUAAGCAAUAAUAAAAAAAAUGAUUGUAAUUAAUUAGUCCACUUUGAAAAUGGGAUUAAUAAUGAAAGAAGAGUUUGAGUCUAUCUCUCAUCUUAUAUGCAAUCAUAAUGGACUUAUUCAAACCGUACAAGAAGCAAAAAAGAAAGUACUUUCAUAUUCUAGAAGACUACAAUAAAUAAAUAUAGAUUUAAUUUAUAAUAACAAUUCUUAGUGGAAAUUGUACAAUUAGAACUAAUAGCAGUCUGUAUCAUCUUUUCAUAUUUUUUCUAUUUUAUAUGCUUAAAAGUUGUGAAAAAUAGAGACAAAGUUUUGGAAAAUAACAUAAAUAUUAGAGAUGAAUCAUUAUAUUUAAUAGAAAUUUUUUAUUGCAAAAAUCAAGGACCAACUCUUUUUUUUUUCCUUAUAUUUUGAAACUUUUUUAUUAAUUGAAGUUUCAUAUUUUAAUUUGUACCAUAGUUAUCUUUGAAUUUUUAGAAACAUAAAAUUUAUUUAUCCAAUCAAAGUAGUAUAUAUUAUUCCUUAGUUUAGUAAGUAAAUAAAAAUAUAUAUUUAAAUCCAUCAAUAACAAUAAAAUAAGAUAAGAUAUUAAAUACGUAAUGUUCUAAGUUUAGGAAAAGACAUAAACGAAGUAAUGUCACAUUCGAAUGAGAAGGAUCAUAAGAACAUGAAGUACGGAUUAUAAGAACAUGAAGUACGGUAAAUGAAAGACUUAAAAGAAUUUGAAAAUCAUUACCUAUAUUAACAAAGUGUACAUUCCUAUUCGAUGACUCAAUUAUAAAAAUUCCUUUACUUUGGAGCCAUCCUACAUUCAGUGACCUUAUGAAAAUUUUCUUAAGGAUUCAUGUGAAUGAAUACUAAUUACGUUGGAAUUAGACUCAUAUUGGUUUGUAUUGAUAGCUUUCACAACUUUGAUAAGUCUUUAAGACAAGCAAAUAUGAUGUUAUUAGAUGGCAAAUUUAAUGCCGGAGAAUGUCAGGGUCACAUCAGUUGCCAAAUUGAGAAUCGUUUAUACAAAAUAUCAUAAAAUGACAUUUUAAUUAAAAACAUAAUUACUUUAUAACACAACGAGAAACAAAGGAUGAAAAUAAAGUUUACGUAACUCAAUUUAUUCUAACAAUUGACAGUGUAUUUACUAAAUAAAAAAUGAGUUUCAAUUAAUCUCAUUCUAAUUUUAGAUCCUCUUUGAAAUUAAUCCAUCUCAUACUCAUUCUAAUCACUAUUACAUUUUAAUUCAACCUGGAAUAACAAAGGUUUGAGCUUUUAUUAUUAUUACAUUUUUAAAAAACAUAUUAUAUUGAUUCUCCAUAAUGCCAAGCAAGCUCGAGAUGGAAACUUUAAGAGAAGAAACGUUUGUACACAUGAUUUUGGUGAUGCCUUCCUUUUUUUCAUUCAAAAUUACUCCAAUUGAUCAUGCUCCCAUGCAUUUGCUCUUUUACAUUUUCCUCUUUUCUUUUUUCUUUUUUCUUUUCUUCAAUCUAACCUAACCUAAGUCUAUAAAAUAAUAUUUUUUCUAAAAAUAUUUUUAAAUAAACGAUGAUUAAUCAUGGUAAAACAUGGUAUAAUGGACAAACUAUUUACACUAUACAGUAUAGUUAAAACUAUUUACACUAUACAGUAUAAUUAUUUAGUGGUUUUUCUUUUUUUCUUUUUGCUAUAUAAAGUAUAAAUAGUUUAUAUUUUUUAUUAUUUUUAGAAAAACAAAGUAAAGUCACUUUAUCUUGAAAUGCCCUUCUUCAACAUCUAAACCAUUAGAGAAAGAAAAAGAAAAAAAAAAUGUUAAUGUCCGCCACAAAGUGAAGUUGAUGAAGUGAUGAAGGGAAGGCGUGGAUUAAGUCCACUUCAUGAAUUCCUAUUUAUGUCUCCUUUGUCCUUAUUCUAUCAAAUUUCAUUCUUUUUUUUUAGAUACAACUCUCUAAACCCUUUCAUUUUUGUUUAAUUUUAGUCCACAUAUAUAUUUCUUUUCAUUUUAACUUAUGUAUUUAUUAUUUAUUUUAAAUUUAAGCAUUAUUAUUACUAUUUUAUAAAACCACAAAAAAGUCAUAUUAAUGACACUGGUAUAAAAUACAAUACACUCAUUCAAGUAGAAUACACAAAAGCAACAUAAAAAAGAGGUUGAAGAACAAUAAUAAUCCAUAAAAUGCAAUAGUAUAAAUAGCAACUGACGAUAAAAAAGAUUAAAGAAAAAAAAAACGAAGAUAAUGUUAAAACUUAUUGUUAAAUUGUAUAUUCAAUAGGGUUAUAUAUUUAACAAGAUUCAGUAGGGAUUGAGAUAUGAUGAUGAAGAUCAAAUGAUUUUAGGAUAUGAUAUUUUAUUAUUUUUUUAUUAUAGUUUUGGGUAAGGGAAUAUAUACAUUAAAUUGGGGUUUGUUUGAUUUUAAGUUCGUGAAAAUAUUAGAUUAGUGGUUUAUCUUUUUUCCUUCAAAAAUGUCAACAUAAAAGUAUAGAUAUAUUAAAUUGUAUAUCAAAUACGUCAAUAUAAGAGUAGAUAUAUCAAAUUGUGUGUCACAUAUAUACAUAUACAUAUUUAAAUGUAUGGAUAUCUAAUACGCCCUUCUUUACCUCAUAUGAAAUGGUUAUACUUUAAAGGUUUUAGGUUUGUUGUUAGUAUUUUAAAUAAAGUGUGAACUAACUCAAAUUUUUAUCUAAAGUUUUUAUUUUUUGCUCUUCUCUUUUAGUCAUAAGUUUAAUAUAUCACUAAACAAUUUAAAUUGUCACAACCACUACAAAAGAUAGAAAAAAAGAAAAAAAGAAAAAAAAAACAUAUUCAAUCCACUAUACUCGAAUUAAUAAUUAAAACAUUGAUUCUACUAAUAAAAUUUCCAUAUCGAAUAUGAUGAAAUUAAGAAUUUAUAGCUUCUACGCGUUUUUUUUCUAUGUAAUUAAUUGUUGAAGACGAUGGUUUAAGAGAUUUUUUUUUAUAAAAAUAGAAAAAUUUGAUAAACUAUUUACUUUUUAUAGAAUAAAACCACUUAAACAAAAUUUAUUAUUUCAGGUAAAUAUUUUGUUUCGUUUUUGAUAAUUUUUGUUUAAAAGAAUUAACAUCCUUAAAAUACCACCAUGAUUCUAAAUUUAUAAGAACAAAUUAAAAAGAAGAGAAAAGAAAAAGACUCAUAUAUAUGGUUCAAACAUGCAUGCUUGGAAAAAAUGCUUGAAAAAAAAAAUUGCCCAUGGGUGACAAAAACAUUUUUCCAAUGCAAUUACUUAUAAUAUAAAUCAUGAAGCCACUCAUUUGGAUUAUGACAUAUCAAUUAACCCAACCUCUCCACUCCAGCUUUUUGUGUAAGGACUUCCAAUUCCAAGAAAUUAUAUAUUAAAGAAAAAAAUAAUAACUUGAUUUGAAAUAUUGGAAGAUUGUUUAGGUUAAUGUCACCAUCUUUUGAUAAUAAACAUAAAAUUAUCAAUCUUAAUUUUUUCACCAUUAUCAGUUGAUGGAUGAGAUUUUCUUUCAUAGAGAUUGAAAACGUUCAAUUCUCUUUAUCCCUAUUGGUAAAGUUAUAUUAAACAAAAAUCAUUGAAACGGGUUAUAAAGUUUUGCAUGAAAAUAAUUCUUUUCGAACUAAAAUAUGGAUGGAUCAUAGUUCAAUAGUAAUGGACAUGUGAUUUCUUCCUGUAAAAGUCGUGAUUCAAAUCUUUAUAACCUAUAUUUGUAUAGUAAAAUCACUUUAACCUAAGAUAGCACACCCAAAUCCCACUCGUCGUAAUUGUUAGGAUUUUAAUUAAAGGUUAAACAUAUCGUUCUAGGUAUUAUAUACUUUACAUUUCAUUCCAUAAUUAUUACAAGUUCAAAUGUCUAAGUUACUUAACAUACUUCAUAUACACAUGAAUCUUAAAAAAUUAACCAUUAUCAUUAAUAUAAAGUACUUAACAAGCCUUUGUCAAAUUAGGUAAAAUGAUAUGAUAAUAAUUUCUAGUCAAUAAAAAGGCACAACCUAAAGGUAUUAAUUUUAAAUACAAUAAAACUAAAAUUUACAAAAUAUAGCAUAAGUAAUCAGAUUUUAUUAUGCUUGGAUAUUUUGAAAUUUCUAAAAAAAAAAAGUUAAAAAACGCAAUAAACUAAUAGCCAUUAGUUAAUUAAAAAAAUGAAGAAUGAGAUGUUUUUCUCUACUAAAUAAACAGAAGUAACAUAAAGAGAUUCUUUAGUAUAUGCCCCAACUCAAAAGAACCACUUAAAUUAGCCUAUUUUCAAUUAAAUGAAAAGUUAUUUAAGAAUAUUUUACCUACCAAAAAGUAAGAAUCAAAAUUCUAAUUAAUUAUAAUGGUACAAAAUGAGGUACUAAAAAAUAUCUUAAAUAUAAUACAUAUAAAAGCAAUUUCUUUGUAAACUUUGUGUAAUUUAUGUAUAAAGUUUUCUAAUUUUUUUGAAAAAAAAAAAAAAAGCAACUCCACAUCCAUCAAUUCACACAAAUAUCUUAGAAGAUAAAUUAAGAGUUGAAAUAUAUAAAAUGACAGUAAGAAAGCCACUCAGAAUUUUUUGUUUCAUAAUUAGCUUAAUAGUUUAAAUGAACUUUUGGUGCAAAUUUAUUUCUAUUGGCCAUUUUAUUUUAAGAUAAUAUUGUGUGGACACAAGGAUUAAUUCACUGUAAAAUUAUAUUACUUUCUCUUUUCUUCUUCUUUGAUUUCUUCAACUUUUACUUUUUUGUUGGACUUUUUCCAACUAAAAUAUAGCCAACAAUUUUGGUGGUGAUAAUCACUCAAAGGGCUUCAAUUUUGUUUAAAAUCUUCUUUGCUUUUUUUCUUUAAAUUUUUUUUCUAUGCUAUGUAAUCUUUUCUUUUUAAAAAAUUACAUUUUAUUAUUGGCCAAAUUUUUUAAAAAACUACUCUCUUUUAACUUUUUUUUUUCCAGACCGAUUUGAAGUGUUUUUGAAAAGGCCAAAAAUACAAAUUAAGAGAAUAUAUAUGUUUAUUCCCACUUUUUUUCUCCUUAUAUUUUAAAGUUGUUUUCAUAUUGUUCCAAAACGUGAUGGUUUUAAUUAGGUAAAGAAAAUACAUUUGAUCCAAUAAAAUUGAAUUAAAAGUGUUUUUACCACUCCUAAACUAAUCUUUAUGUUAUCUUAAACUUAUCAUGGUCUAACUUUUAUCUCGUACCAUUUUUCUUGGCAACUUUUUCCUUUUCUUGUGCACAUUUACUCUCUUUCAUUAAAUGCAUUUUUUAUUACUAUAGUUAACUCUACACGUAUAACUUUCAAACGUGUGGAGGACAAAGGCUAUAAAAGUUAAUCACGUGUGUUGAUAAAAUCUUAAUUCGAAUGUGGAAGGAAAAUGAAAAGUGGUGCGAAACGUACCAUAUAAUAAUUUUGUGAGUGUCGAAAAUUUAUUUUGUAUUUAUAUUUUGAUGGAUAGGAAAAAAAAAAGAACAAAACGACACCUUGGUGAUGAAAAUGGUGGACUUGAAAAUGGAUGAGAGCUUGAUUAUCACUAAGAAACCAGAAUGAUACUGAAUGUGAAAUGGACACUAGGGUACUAGUUUCCAAUCAUGAACUCUAAACACACUAAGGAAAUUUGUUGGAGAUGGUUUUGACAUGAAAAUUCUGACAAUCAAUAUAUAUAUAUACACUUUCGUACGUGGUGAUUGCAUUGUCUCUUUCAACCAAAUCUUAAAUGUGGCAAAAAAAAAAAAAAAAAACCUAAUUGUGUUUACCAUAGUUGAAUCCACUAAUACUAUUAUGUAUGUAUUGUUUUUUUCUUAUUAAUUGUGAUAUCAUGAAUGAGACCCAUUAACUAACGAUGCAUAAAUAACAAUUUAAGUUACGGCCAUGGAAAAAAGUAUAAUUCGAUUAGUGUUUGUCAAGGUUAGAAAAAAAAUGAAAUUCUCUCCUUUUCUUUCAUCCACUAUCUAUGUUUUUCUUUUGCUCGUAAUUGGAUGGCAUGAUUAGUAGGAGAUUACUCUCAUUUUGUUUUCGGUAUAUGCAAACAUAUCAUUAGAAACCAAACAUACAAGUUAAAUAAUUAGAUAAAAACUAGGAUAAAUCAUAUCAUUAUAGAAAUAUGAAAAACGUAUGUAUUAUUGUCGUAACAAGCUUGAUGAAUUUGGUUUGAGAAAUUUAAAGAUGAGAGGAAGGGGGAAGAGUUUUUGUUUAGUGGUUUCAUUUCAUAUUAUAUGAUGGGUGUUUCCAAAGUGGUGAAUGGUCACGCCCAACAGCUAUGGUGACCUUAAUGCCCUAACUCUAAUUUUUGCUUUCUACAAUAACACAACAAUAAUCAUUAAGAAAACAUAAAACAUUCUGCUGUUUUUUCGGUUAUCUGUCUCUUCAAUUUUUAUACUAUUGGGACGGACCCCUACUCAUGUAUUACUAACCAUUCAUAUUCAUUUUUUUUCCAAUUUUAGAAAAUUUUGGACCAUAACUUUAUUUGUGUUAUUUGAUAGUGUAUGGUGAGAGAGGGAAUCAAAUUUGGUUGCUUGGAUAUAAUGUCAUUUUGGAGUGUGUUUGAAAAGAAGAAACUUUGAGAAGUGUAUCUUUGUAAUAGUAAGAUAUUGUUUAUUUCGAUAGUAAGCGUAAUUGUAAUAAUUUGAAGGAAAAAAAACCUCAAUAAUUGACCUACUAAUGGAUUAGAGAGAUGUUAUUUUCAAUCACCUUAAUUUUAUAUAUAUUUUUUAAAUAUCUUUAGAAAUUUUAAGUUUAUACAUAACUUUUGAUAUUCGUAUAGAAAUAGAUGAGUGUUUUUAUUUUCUUUUUUCUUUUUAACUUUGAAUUUAAUAAUAAUAUUUGGGAGGAGAGUGAUUUGAACCUUAAAAGAAUAAACCAUAACCAAUAGCUUAAUUAGAGCUAUGGUCAAGUGUUAACUAUGAGUAAUCAAUUAUUUCAUUCAUGUCAUUUGUUUCUUUACUGGAUAACAUGAAUGAUACAUCAAUUUUGAAUCGAAGAAUAUUGUUUUGUUUUAUCCACAUAGCUUAUUAAAUAGUUUGGUAGCCAAAAUUUAUUAUACAUGAUCAUCCAUAUCGUUAAAGAAAAAUAUUAAUUAUGAUUCUGAUUACUUUUUUAGGAUUGAAGUUUAUGGUAAGAGUAUUGUUUUUAUUAGACUGACUAUUCAAAAUCAGUUGUAAACUCGUGAAGAUAAUGGUGCUAUUCUAAUAUCCCUUAAUGACUAUCUUCUAUGUAACGUUGGUGUGGUGUCUAAGAGUGUUCUAUUUGUAAGGCUAUUUAGAGGGCCAUGGGCUAGCAUCCGUUGGUGGGUUAGAGCCUAUAGGAUAUCAUAUUGGGAUAAGAUCUCAUUUGGAUUUUUCAUGUUAGUGAGAGAUGUAAGGUUUGAAGAGUUACUUGGUGUACUGACUGUUAUUUAUCAUAUUUUGCGCUAACACAAUAGGUAUGUCCAUUGUGUCCCUUUUUAUACCCGUUAAAGAUUAGUCUGAAAAUUUCAAAUUGAGUGAUUUUAUAUGUUGAUCUAAGUAGUUGGGGCUUUUUCCCGUGAGAAACCAAGUAAAUUUCUCCUUAGAACCUUUUUCCUUGAGUUGUGUGUAGUGUUGUUUCUUUUCUGAAUUCGAUUGUUUGCUUGUUUUUUUACAUUGUUUUUAGUUCUUUGUUUGUGCAUGCCUGGGUGGGAUGUGAAGUCCUCGCUCUUUUUAGCAAUACAUUACUUUACAAAAAAAAAAAAAGAUCUAAAUUUCUAGUACCACACAACUUAUAGUAUAAUAUUUUCAUCAUUUACUAAGAAGCAAAAUUUGGUGGUUAACAUGAUAAUCAAGAAGUGAAGCAAGUACUAUUAAAUGAUCGGGUGUGAGGGUUUCUAUCGUAGGGUUUGCGAAGGAGCAACAAGCAUUGGACAUGACGAUGAAAAUGUGGGCUUAUGAAUUUCCAAACAACCCUAUAAUUUGAAAUGAAAUUGAGUCGAAUUGUAAGCUCCAAUCCGAUCCCUGAAUCAAGCUUGUCUUCCAUGUCCCUCCCCGCACCAUACAUUGCCUUAUUGCUUGUGCCCACACUCAAUCGGAACCUCGUCCUUCCACUCUCAGCAUACAAUCUUGGACCCUAUACAUAUUUCAAAUAACCCACACACAAAUUCUAAGAUUUUAAAUUCAUUAUUGCUGAGCUUAAUUAGGAGACAUUUGGUUGUCUGCUCUUUAAAUAAAUAAGCUUUUCAAGACUAUUUUUAAAUUUAAAAUAAAAAUUAAUAAUUUAUUCAAAUGGUCCUAAUCCAAAUAGUUGUAAAAAUGUCAUUCAAUUCUUAACUGGAUGUGCUAUAGAAUGUAAAGAUAACUGUGUAGUAAAUAGUAUGUAAUCUUUAAUUUUUGUACGGUGUUAAAAGAAGAAGAAUAGUAGAGAGAAUAAUGAAAGCUUACUUGUGAAGCUGCAAUGGGAAGAGGGCCAAAAGACAUAUGAAGAGAUGGAGGAAGGAUGUGAAGGCCAAAAAGCUUAGAGUGAUUGUCCACAAUUACAUCCAUUGUGCAAUUGCAUGUUAGAAUCUUAGUCCCAACCCCUGUUUUGUCCACUCCUUCCCCUAACAUAAACUCUUCUAUUUCUCCCACCUGCAUAUCCAUCCAUCCACAUAAUUAAUUACCCUUUCACUAUAUUUUAGACACAUAAUUUAACAUAUCUAAACAUCUAUUACACUCAAAUUCCAAAACUUAUGGACUACAACUUUUUCUUUGUAAUAUAGCCUUAAGAAGAUAUAUUACAUGACGCAUCUUUGAAUAUAUUUUUUUUAAUGUUAUUUAAGGGCAAGAUUAGUGAAACAGUUAAUAGACUAAUAAUCUUAUGUGGUUUAAGGAACAACAACUAUAAUUUGAAAUUAUCAUUAUUUCUAAUACAAAAUUAUUUGAAAGAAUGUUUAUCAUAUACAUAUUUAUUUAUCUUUGUUAUUAUUGGUGUAGACACAUAUGAUACAUAUAGUUAAAUUUUGGAAAAUUAUAGUAUUAUAGUGGUACCUGCUACUUAGCAAUCAUAACUUUGAGACAUUUUGUUGUUAAAAAAUUUAUUAGUUUAUUGGUCAUAUAUUUUAUUUUGUGAAACUUCACAUAAUUUUUAAAUUAUACUAUGUUAGGCAAACAAUUUUUUACUAUCAUAAAUUAAUUUGUUGAUUUUUUAAAACAAUAAGACAUGAAAAUACAUUUGAAUAGUGUCUUUUUCUACCUCAUAUUAUUAUUAUUUAACCAAUUUCAAUAAGAAGAGUAAGGUUUUUGAAAACUAAAUUUAAAUUUUAUUUUAAAGUAUUGAUACAAAAUAGAAGAUAGAUGAAAAUUAGAGUGACUAAAUGUGGAACAUUCAUCUGGCAUUUGUAUCUUUCUAUGAAUAAGAAGUAUCGGGUUUAAAUUCUCACCCAACAUUUAAUACAAUACCUUUAAAAAAAAUUAACAAAAUUUAAAAUAUAUUUUAACAUUAAAUAUCCCUAACAAUUCAAAAUUUGAAGAUGUGAUGAAAACUUAAAUUUGUUUAGAUAUUUAUUAUACAAAAAGUUGGUUUUUUUGUGAGUUUGGAAUUAACUAAGUGUAUAUAUAUGUGUGUAUUUAAUUAAGAAUUUGAAUUUUUAAUUGAUUGUGAAUAUAAUUAUAAUUAAUUAUCGAAAAAUAAGAAGAGUUAAUGGUUCAUUUGAUUGGAUGGAAAAAAAAUUAUGAAUUUGACUGUGGAAAGAGAAAAUUAGAAUAUAUAUAUAUAUUUUGGGAAAUGAAAAGAAAAGAAAAUAUAAAAAAUAUUAUUAUUAUUUGGGUUUCUAAAUGACGUUGGAAUACAUCAAUCGAAAACAAAAUGAAUAAGGAAAGGUUCUUCAUCUUUUUCCUAAGAUAAUCCAUGCCUUCCUUUAUAGAUUUUGGUUAAAAUUGAUAAGUUAUGUGAGUGGUUUGGGUCAUGCAGUGAGAUUUUAAAAUCCAAAUUCAUACUCUAAAUUAAGUUUAUUAUUUGAAUUGAUUUUAGUUACAUGUUUUGAAAUGUGGUUGAGGGAUUUUAAUUAAAAUCCAUUAAAGUUAAUUGAUACUCUAAAAAUUAAGUUUAUUAUUGGAAUAAUUGAUUUUGGUCAUAUGCCUUUGAAAGGUCCAUUGGACACACGAUAGUUAUUUGUGGUAUCUUUUACGGAAAGUUAAUGGAUUACCUAGCAGGACCUAGUAGCGGGUUCUUAUAUUUCAACCAAAGGUAAAGGAUUAACUCGAAAGUUAGCAAGUGAUAGAAAGAGUAUGUAACAUGCUAUAUGAGAACUAUUUCGUCUAUGCUUCCACUAAUGUUUUUAGAUAGAUUACUUGAGUAAUGAUCCCAACUUGAUUAUGAAGAAAAAAAAUAUGGAUUAUUACACCAACCCAACUCAUUUACAUCCCUAUUUGAGGGUUUGAUUUUAUCAUUUAUAUGUAUAGCUUUAAUUUCUACCAUUACAAUUUAACAUGCACAUUUACAAGUUUAGAUGUUUCAUUUUAAUUACCAUAAAUUUAAAGGUGUAUUGUUAUGGCAACUAACCACCCUACUUUUCAAGGAUGGUUUUUGCAAUUGUGUAUAUGUGUACAGACAUAUGUGUGCACACAUAUACAUAUAUAUGUAUAUGUAUAUUAUUUGUAUUUAAGAAAAAAUCAAUUAUACACUAAAACAAGGUUUUACAUUCUAAUUCUUAUGGCAUCACUAACCUUUUAGAAGUUAUGGAAAAAAAAUCCCAGAGGAUAACCUUGUUAUUAUUUAAGAAUUUGUGUCAAACUUACUAAGCUUAUUUAUUUAUUAAUUAAAAAAAACUUACCAAGUUUUAUAUGAAAUUUAAGUAAUUAUUUAUUUAAAAAUAAAACAUACUAUAGGUCCUAAUUUGUUUGAAACAAUUUAAUCUUUAACAUUUUAUCAUAAAUGAAAUGUAAGGACGAAUGUGUAAUAUAUAAAGUUUGUAUAAUUAAAUAGGACCAAUUUGAGAGUCAUACAAUACAAAUAGGACAGAAAAUGUAUGAUUUCAAUAUUAAAGUUUAAAAAAAUGUAUAUAAAUUAUAAAGAAAAAAUAAAAAUUUGAAGAAAAAAGAAAAGAAAAAUUACCUUAACAGUAAUGAUUGGUGAAGGAGGAUUAGUGACAAUGUAAAAGACAAGCAAAGCAAUUCCCAUGCUGAAAAUUGCCCUCCAACUCAAUUGCAAGCAAAUCCAUGCAUUAGAAUCCGAAUUCCUAUACGUAAAAUACCUCUUCCAACAACCUCUUUUUCUCUUCCCAUAAUACCCUUCCUCGUUUCCCUCCCCUUCCUCCUCUUCCUCCUCGCAAUCUCCACCAUUGCCACGACCCACAAUCAGCCGAGCCUCGCCAUUGUCUGUCCCAGCCCCAUGGUUUGAGCCACGGGAGGACGAGUAGUGGGAGAGAGUAAAGCGAGAGGCUUCCUGCGUCGGGUUGCGGUGGUGGUGGUGAUGGGCGUUGGGAAAAGUGUCGGAGGGGAGAGGGGAGUGGCAAGUGGAGACCUCGGCAGGGUUCCGAAUGUCGGAGCUGUUGGCGUGGGAGAGAGUGGAGGGGCUUUGUACGUAGUAAGCACAUGGAUAAGAGUGGAAGAGAACGGCUUCUUGCUCUUCGGCAGUCUCCAUCACGGCGGCGGACAGAGUGGCGGAGAGAUGAUUUCUCUCUGACAUGGGAAAACACAAAAUAAUGGGAGAUCCCUUUUAAACUUUUCACAAUGAAGAGUUUAAAAAAAGUUGUAAAUUUUUGUUUUAAAAAGUUUAUAUAUGUUUUUCUUCCAUAGGGUUUUAAAAUAUAUACAUUUUCAUUAAGUUUUACUUUUGAUUUGAAUUUAGUUCCAUACAAUUUUACUUUUCAGGUUUUAAUUUUAUUUCUAGAUUUCAAAAUUCUAAUUUUUAUUCUCUAUUUCUCAUUAAAAAUGCAUUUUUUUUCUUUAUUGUCUAUUAAUCAAUUAAAAAUAAUUAUUAACUAUAAAUUUAAAAUUAAUUAUAAGUUAUGGAAAAAUAGUAAACUUAUCACAUUUUAAUUUAUUUUUAAAAAAAAUUUUAGAAUAUAAUCCAUUUUUUGUUUGCUUGUUUAUUGUGUUAUUGGACUAAAUUAGACAAAAAUAAGUCCAAUCUAAUACUAUCAUAAAAAUACUACAAUAACUUGAGCUAUACUUAGACUAAUAUUGUUUUUAAAUACAUGAUUAAAUUAAAUUAUUGAAUAUACAUCUUCUGACAUGUUUUUUUCUUUCCUUUAUUGACUCCAAUUUUCGAUUAAUUGUGUAAUAUAUUAGAGAAAGGUAGAUCUGUCCACAUGUUCUAUGACAAAGUUUCAACUUCUUUAAAUUACAUUCUUAAUGUAUUGGAAAAGUUGUGGGGACGAAAGAAUUAAAAAUGAAUUGAAAAAAAAAUGGUUAUUGUUGUUGGAUGAUUUAUCCCAGGUUUAAUUUCCUUCACUAAAAAUACAAAUUUUUACUCUUUCAUAAAUAGCAAAAUUUUCAUUUUAUUUAUAAGUCAUUUUAUACUUUAUAUAUAUAUAUAUAUAUUCUUAGGUUAUCAUAUAUUUUAUCAACACCUCCGAAUGAGUGAAAUAAAUCAAAAUUAUAGAAUGAAAAUUAAAAAAAAAUAUAUGGUGAUAUUGAAAAUAAAAAACUAUAAAUAGUAGAAAUAUCAUUUCCUAUCUUUCUAAAAUUUAUGCUACUAUGGAGAUAUCAUUUUUAGAUUUUCCUUUAAGAGAGCAUUUUUUUUUUUUUUGAUAGUUGAUUUUAUUUUCCAUUUGAUUAGCAUUUUUAAUGUUUAACUCAUCACCCUCGCUUCAAUUUUACGCUCAUUAUAGUAUAUAUUUAUUUUACUUGUUAAAAAAUAUAAAUUUUUUAAAAUAGGAGUGAAAUUUUAAAAAUCAAAUCAUGUAUAUAUUGGUUGUGACUAAAACGUUCGGAAUUUGAAUUUUACUAUCAUAUUUUGUUGUUUUAAAAAAUGCUAUAAUUUCUUAAAUUUAUUUUUUUAAUAAAUGGUGAGGUAAAAAGGGGAAAAAGGUGAACUCAAAAUGAUGAAUAAACAAGUGCAAAACAAAAAAUGCUUUUAAGAAAAAAAGAUAAUAAUUUUGGGAUCCCAAGGUUUUACUUUACACCGAAAAUGGCACCACCUUAGGGAAUGAUAACAAAACUAAGCACGCUUUCAUUAACUCUAAACUAUUUAUAUAAUUAUAUAUAUGUGUGUAAUUUCACUAAUAAUUUAAAUGCAUUAAAUAUCAUUAUAUUCCCCAAAUAAUUAUUACAUAAACUCAAAUUAAAUUUUAAAGAGAGAGAGAGAGAGAGAAGGAGAUAGCAAACUAAAAUUUCUUGAUUUUGAAGCCAUAGAUGAGAGAGAGAUAGAGAGGUAUAUAGAGUAAUGAUCAUAAGGGUAAGAUUUAGAGAGGAAAAAUUAUAAAAAAGAAUGUAUAGCUUUAAUUUGCUUUUACAUCAAGAAGACAUUAUGAUAUGCACUACACACACUCACUCACCCUAUAAAUCAUUCUAUACAACCUUUAAUAACUACCCCUCUUAUUUACUCUUCUCUUUAAAUUUAGUCAUCAUUAUCAAUAAUAUUUUUUUGGAUUCCCAUUCUUUAUUAUUAUUCUUCUUAUUAUCAUAACAAGGUGCUAUUUUGUAUAUAAAAAUAAAUAAAUAAAAUGAAAUUAUAUAAUUUUGUUUUUCUAACCCUUUUCUCCCUAAAACUUACAAAAAAAAAAUUUCACUUAAUUGACAUAAUUUUAAGGGCCGAAGGAUUUGAAAAGAACAUAUUUAUUUUGUUUAUAAUUAUAAAACUUAAAAUUAGGAAGUUCUUAAAAACUUUUAUUUUGUUUAUACAUCUUUCUGGAAGACUUACUUAAUGAAAUUAGAAAAAAUUAUACAUACCUAUGACGGACUUUUAAUUUACAAUUAUUAAUAUUAUCAAAUUGUUUAAGGGAUGUAUGUAUCAUUCCAAACUUAACUUUAAAGCUUUAAAAAGUGUUUCAAUUGUAAUUCGUUCAUAUAUGGGUUAUCAUUGGAUGUAUUGCUAAAAUGAAAAGUAUACUCACAAUGUUAUUCAAUAAUUUGUAUGUUGAUAAAAUCAAUCAACUUCUAAUUUUAUUGAAAUCAAUGUGGUCAUGGAGAAUCAGUUUAACAUUUUUUUAAUUAGUGACUGUUUUUUUAGUUAAAGCUCCAAUUUUAUGAAAUUAAAAUCUCAAGUAAAAAUUGAUAGAAAUCAACAAGUUUUAGAUUUAAAAUUAAUUUUUUUCCAAAAUAUUAAAAUCCUAAAAUAAUAUAUAUUAAGGACUUGGCUUCAUUAAUCAUUUUGUUUACUUGGUUUGAUAACCAUUUUUCAAAACUAAAAGUUGCUAAGCAUUCUUUUUACCUAAGUUUUUUUUAAAUUUUGUUAUCUAUUUUUAACUAUAUUGCUUUGGAAAUCCAUACAUUUCCAAAACUAAAAAAGAAAAUUGUUUUUUUUUUAAAAAAUAGGCAAAGAAUUCAAAUAUGGCCUAAAUUUUUUAGAAAAAUUUAUAUUUAGUAGAUUGAUCAACUCUAAAAAAACAAUAUGUUAGUGAUGUUAAAUACAAAAUUAAAAAUUUAGACUCCAUUUUAAAAUUUUGACAACUAAUUAAGUUUAGUUUCUUUCCAAUAUUCAUCAUCUUUCUUUUCUUAAGUAAAAUAUUUAAUUAAAUUCUUAACCAAACCUAAAAAAAACAUAAAAAUAUCUUUAAAAUUACUCUUUUAGUAGUCUUCAAAAUUGAGUUUGGUUUUUAGAAACACUCGGAAUAGAUAGUAAAAAACAAACAAGAAAUUUAGAGAUGUAUUGGAAGUUGUAUAUAUAGGCAUAGUUUUUAAAACAUUGAAAACAAAUAAAAUAAAAUAGUAUUUUUAAAACAUGUAUUAGAUACAAAAUAAAAAGAAUUUAUAGACUAAUUAGAUGGAUUUAAAACUUAGGAAAUAAAUAAAGAAAACCUAAAACAUAAUUAAACCUAAACCAUGAAAAAGUUAUAUAUAUGCUUAAAUUGAAAGAUAGGAGGAAGCCAUAUGGGUUCCAAUAAGAGGUGUGUCCAUAAACUUCUCCAUGUUUUAAGGUUAAAGUGUGAUCUUUCUUUUUCCUUUUUAACUUAAUAUAAUGACAUUGAAUCAAUUAAUUAAGUUCUUUAAAUACAUUUAUUUCUUGUAUUUCUUUUUUCUUUUUUUAAAUAAUGAUUGGUCGGUGAAGAUUUAGUCAUUCAUAUUUUAAAAAGGCUAAGUUUGUUCAAGUAUAACAUACUGAAAUUAAUUUUAAUAAAAACUUUCAAUUAGGACCAAGUUUGUUUAAACUAAAUCAUUACCAAUUUUAAAGCAUAGAGGGACUAAAGAGUAGCAAGUUACAAUUUAGAGACUAGAUUAUUACUUCUAUUGAAACCAAAAUGUUAUUUAAAGAAAAAAUACAAUGGAGGAGUAGGUGCACUCGUACACAUCCACUAAGUGAAUACCCCGAUCAUCAUCCCUGCUUCAUUAAUAUAUAUAUAUAUAUAUAUAUAUAUAUAUUAUAUAUAUUAUAUAUAUAUAUAUAUAUAUAUAUAUAUUAGGAAGUAAUAGUACAAGAACAACAAGAGAUAAAAAUGAUACAAUAGAGCAUAAAGGGCUAGAGAUAAGCCAAAUACAAAAGAAACUAGAAAGCAUUUAAAUUGAUAGCUAUAGAGGAUGCACGGUCAUUUGCAAACAUAUAGAGGAAUUGCUAACCCACAGUCCCGAAUAUGAACAGAUGACUUCCCAAAGAUCAAUGAUCGAUUUUUCUUUGUUCUUGAAAAUACGAUUAUUUCUGUCCAGCCAAAUGGACCAUAACACAGAUGCAAUGGUGUUAAAUUUGAUGAUUCCCCUUUAUUAUUGUGUUGAUUUAUGGAGCAAAGAUCAUAACAUAAGGAUUUUACCAUUUUGUACUUGUUGGAUUCUCCACCUGAGAAGACUUUCAAGCUUGGUCCAUAGAAUCAUAGAUGUUUGGCAUGAUAUGAAUAUAUGAUCAAUCUCCUCUAAAUGUCUUUUACAAAAAGAACAUCAAUUUGGGUUCAGUUUGAGUGUUGAAAUCUUUCUAUGAAGAAUAUCUACGGUCGGAAUCCUAUAAUUAGAUUCUCCAUCCUAAAAUGUUUUAUUUAUGUUCAUGUGAAUGAGUUUUUUUUUCUCAUGAGAUAUAUAUUUUUGUUGACUUCAAUACUUUUAUCUAUUUGAUCUAUAAACUUUCAAAAUUAUAUAUUUAGUAUCCGUACUUGUAAAUUCAACCGAACAUAAAAUUCAAAACUACUUAAACAAUUGAAACAAAAAUUAAACAUUUUAAGAAUCUAGGACAUACAAUUAAUUAAUAAAAGUGCAUAAAUUUAUUACAUUUUUUAAAAUUUGAGAACUAAACAUACACAAAUCUCAAAAUUUACAGACCGAAAACGAAACCUAACAUCACAUAUAUACAUAAAUGUACUUUUCAAAUUUUGUAAUUACGAAAAUGGUAUAUUGAUAUUUAAACACUUAGUUAGUAAUGUGUAGCAACAAGAGUCGCUUUGGCCGAGUGGUUAAGGCGUGUGCCUGCUAAGUACAUGGGGUUUCCCCGCGAGAGUUCGAAUCUCUCAGGCGACGUUUCUUUUUUUUCUUUUUUCUUUUUCAUUUUCAUCAUCUUCCUUCCCAGUCUCCUUCACUUGAACUGAACCCUAAUUCUCAACAACUCUAAUCUGUUGUUGUAGACCCUUUUUCCCUCUAUCUUCUCUUCCUAAUGAAUGGAUUUAAUAUCUUGAUCAAAUUCAAAUUUAAUUUUCAUUUGUUAAAAGUUUCUUUCACUCCUUGAGUUAUGUUUAAAUUGUUAAAUAUCCUUUAUAAUAAUUGAGUUAAGAUAGGUUUCAAUUAAAUGAUGCUUUUAAUUUAUAUUUUAAAAAGCUACUAUAUUGCAACCCUAAAAAUAGCAACUUAUUAUCUUUCAAUUUUAUAUAUAUUCCAAUUUGAAGACUUCUUCUAUUCUCUUCUUUUUCUAAAACGUCAUCGUUCCCGACAUUAUAGGAAUAGGAUGUCAAAUACGAAAUUGAUAUCAAAGAAGGUGUUCAAUUUUGAUUUUCCGAUUCUAUGUAUAGUUAUUAAGAUAUUUGAGUUAUGUUAUUCACCUUUCAUGUUGGAAACUAAAAAGGAAAAGAAAAAUUAACAUCAUCGAGCAGUAGACAAUCACAUGGAGAAAGAAGAAGAACAAACUCCAACUCCAAAUUCCUUUGCAUGCACAUGAAUUUUUGAAGAAAGACAUGAACCAUGGAAGUCAUAUAGCCGCACCAUUUAAUAUGGUUUGAUAAUUCCACACAUAUAUAUCCCACAGGUCGCAACUUCCCGAUGUGAGCUCAUGAGGUGAUCCAUCGAAUAAUCAUCCCAACAAUAAUAAUGCUCUCGCGGUUGAAGUUCCCAGCAUAUCCCCUGAAAGAAUCCAAAAGGCUUCGUACAGUCAAUUUCACCCUUGAGAUCACAUUGAGCUUCCACACCAAAUUCCAUUUAGGAUUAAUUGAAUGUUAGAAAGUUAAUCAAACCUACAAUCCAAAGUUCGUUUUGGAUGUGUUAUGUCAAUUAUAUAUUAUUCUUUUGCAUGCUUAUGAUCAUCAAUCUUGACCAAAAAACACCUUUUUGGAGCAUGAAUGGAGAUCCCCAUAUUUGAAAAUUUUCCCUUUUGAGACUUGUUCGACUAGAAAACUGUUAUAUAGCUUAAAAUUUUCAAAAUCUAAAAAAUUAUUAUUAGCAACCAAACCAUAGCAAGCAUUUAACUGAUUGAAACCCCCUUAAUUCUCGUAUAAACACAAACCAAAUAUUCUAAGAUUCAAAUGAUUAAUUAGGUGAACCCAUAUAUAUUUAUAUAUAUAGUUAUGUUUGAUAUCAUAUUCUAAGGUAUAAAUUAUUUGAUUAUUUUUCUUUUUAGAUUAAUAGAGUAUUUCUUUCCAUUCCAAUUGAUUUGUAUGUGUAACUUGAUAUGUUAGAAGUUAGAAGGAAGAAAAAUCAUCAAUUUAAAACAUGAAUAAGACUAGCAAUAUUGUCUGAUCAAGGGAGAGAUGUGUUGUGUAAUAUAUAUAAUAUCUCUUAUGUAAGUUUGAAUUUGUACACAUAAAUGAUUAAAAAAACAACAAAUGAUCCAACCAUUGUUUUAUUUGCUGCUGCUACUAUUAUUUCAUGGUGCUAACUGCUAACAAAAGACCAUGGCUUGAAGAUACCAAAAUCUCUCUCUCAAGUUGGGAUAUUUUUAGAACAAAAGGCUUUUUUUCUUUUCUUUUGCAUGUAAAAACACUACUUUAUCUUCCAAAUCUACUCUUCUCUCUAAAACUCUCUGCUUUUGAUCCAAAGACACAAACACCAAAACCAAAAGUUUUCUCUUUCAUUUCCCAUUCCUCUCAUGGGCUUCAACGCCAUGGCCAUCCAAAAAAACAAUUUUUUUUAUUUAUUUAUUUUCUUUCUUUCGUGGGAUUUUAUUGACACAAAUAAGAAAUCAUUUAAGGGAAAAAAUAUAUAUAUUUAUAUUUAUAUGGUUGGUGGUUUCCCCAAAAAUUUCCUAAAUGGCUUUGAAAAGCCUUUUAUAUGAAACUUAGGGUGGGGAAAAAUAGGCUUUUUCUUUUUGGGUUUUGAUGAGGGAGAAAAUGAGGGAUAAAGAAUGUGUGUGUGUGUGUGUGGGUUUUUUGUUGUCCCUCAAAAAAAAUUAUAAAAUAAAUGAAGAUUUAUAGAAUUUUAGAGGGAGGCAAAGGUUGAAAAAAAUCAAAGAAAAUGAGGAAAUGAGGAUAUAUCUUGCAUGAAACUCUCCAAGUCCCAUUCAUUACCCAUCUUCAAGCUUUCUUGUAAUUGUCCAUGGCUUCCCAUAUCUCCAAACAUCUCCUCCACAUUCAAAUUCUGCUCAUUUGUACCCAAAUACUGAUCAAAACUGCUUCUAUUGUUCAUUAGUGGAGGGUGGUUCAUCUCUUCAUGUGGAACACAUAGCACUUCUCUCUCAAGCUCCAUUGAUCUCUGUGCCUCCAAACUUCCAUAUCUAAACCUCUCUUCCAUUGAUCUCAUUCCCAUUCCCAUUUCUGUCAAUGGGGCUUGUAGAAAGCCAUUGGUGUUUCCAGCCAUAGAGGCCAUUUCAAAGUGGUUGUCAAGAAAUGGCAUGGAUGAACCGUCGAAGGAAUUGUGUCCUGUUGCAGAAAACGGUAAUUGGGAAGAGGAUGAGGAGGUCGACGAUGAAUCCAUGCUCAUGUUCAUACUCAUUAUGUCAUGUUCUUGCAUUGCCAUUAUUCCUCCAAACAUCAUGUCCAAUCUAGGAUCUGAUGAUUCAUGGUUGUAUGGAGAGGAAGAGAGGUUGUUUUUUAACCUUUUCUUUAAUGUGGAAUUCCAAAAAUUCUUUAUUUCAUUGUCGGUUCGUCCGGGCAAACGAGAUGCGAUUUGAGACCACCUAUUGAUUAUUGUUUCCAAAGGAGAUUAGGUUGUUUGGUUUCCAAAUUCAAAUAAAGAAUUAAUGCAAAUGAUAUAUAACUCAUUUUAAAAAUAAGGGAUGUCCCCUCAAACAUGUCUUUCAUUUUAUAAUGUAUAUAUGUAUAUGCUUAAUCUUUACUCCAUUUGAAUAAGGAAUUGUUUAACAGCAUAACAAGUAAUGCUUCAUUUUGAUGUACAUUACAAAAUACAACUAGAUGUUCAAUAUCUUCUUUACAACAUUCCUAAAAAUGAAAUGUAUGUUCUAUGUAAUAUGACAUAGAUCCAUGCUAUGUCCCUGUUUAAAACAUAUAAAGCAAAUAAUCAUAUCAUAUUAAACCCAUGACUUUUAAGGUCAACACAUAUGAUAACAAGUUUGAGAUCAGGUUCAUGAAUGUAGGGAAUGAAAUGAUUCUUCAUCAAAAAAAAAAACUCAUUUGAAACUCUCAAUUUGGUAUCAAGAAAAGGAGUUAAGGAGAGAGAGAGAGAGAGAGAGGACCUGUUGCCAAUAAGAGAAUGCAAAUGAACAAUAAGCUCUUCUUCCUGAGGAGAGAAAGCUCCGCGUUUAAGAUCAGGUCUAAGAUAAUUAAUCCAACGAAGACGACAACUCUUCCCACAUCUCUGAAGCCCUGCAUUCCUAGCAAUAUCACUCCAACAGCCCUGCCCAUUGUUCAACAUAUACCUCAUUAGCUUCUCAUCCUCCUCCGGGGACCACAGGCCUUUACGGUAUUUGUUCUUCUCAGCAUUCUCUUUCCCAAGAACUGCCUCUGGCUUCCUCAUUCUUCUCUCAGAUUUUUUCUGAUGUUUCAGGUUUUUUUCCCCAACUGGGUUUGGUCACUGCAUGGAGAUUUGUAUAUAUAUGUGUGUGUGUAAAGAGAAAAAAGAGAGAGAAAAAGAGAAGGCUUCAUGGCGUGGUAAGGGUGAUGAUGAUGGAGAUGGUUGGGGAUGCUUUGGUUGCUUGAAGAAUAUAGGUUUGAAUUGUGAAUAUGUGUUAAGAGAGAGAGAGAGAGAGAAGAUUGUGUUGGUUGGUUGAUAGGUGGAGUGGAAAACGGAUUGGAGGGGGACCUCCAUUUGUGUAUGUGUCUCUCUAUGGAGAGAGAGAGAGAGAGAGAGAGAGGAGGAGGAGGAAGAAAGAGAAGAAGGGGAUGGUUGGUCUUCUUGUCUUUGACUCAAUUCUUGUCUUUUUUUUGCAUUUUUCUUCACUCACAAGGUAAUCAUUGUCUCUGUAUAACAAAGAACUACAGUUUUGCUUCCACUUCACAUAAUAAUCUCUCUUUCUCUCUCUCUCUAGAGACACGUGACUAUGAAGAAUAAACCUAGAGAGAGAGAGAGUACAUGAAUGUACUUUGGUACUUUGGGAUGUGUUUUCUAGUGUUCCACAAUUUGAUAAAUGUUUUCCCCCUUUCUUCUUUCCAAUUCAUCCCUUCAACUGGAGAUUGUCCAAUAAUUUUUAAUUCUCUUUGCAUGAGAGAUCUCCUUUCAUUUGAGGCCACUGUUUGAACAGAGAUUGUCUUCACCAAAAUAAAUGUAUGACAGCAAAUCCUAGAAACCAUUUAUGAUUUACACGUUAUGGAAAAAACAUGAAUAAAUCUUCAGAUGCAAUUUGCUUUUACUAAAAGAGGAAUCAUCGACGUAUCAACUUUUGUUGAUCUACAUGUACAAAGAAAUGGAUGGAUUGUGUUUUAGUUGAAUAAAAGUUAAUGUAGCCAAAUUAUUUAACUUUUCUUUUCCUCUGAUUGACGUAAAACAUGGCAUAGAAGUAAUGGACAGCUUUUGAAGAGUUUGGAUGUAUUAGUUGAAUAAAACUCACUUAGGGCUGCUGAAACUUCCCUGGGAAGAUGGAUCAUAAAAGCAUACGGCAAGAAGUGGGGCCUUCAACACCCUGAAUUUUCCAAGGAAAAUCUUAUAAUAUUAGUCUGUUCUUCCAAAAUCUGGUACUUUACUUCCCCCUGUUUUAAAGAGAAGAGAAGGAAAAAGAAAAGCCAAAAAUGUAAUCAAACAGAUCUAAAUAAUUGUAGUGGGUGCAGAGGGUAAUGCAAUAAUCAAAAACUUAGUCUAAUAAAUAUGGUAAAUCAGUUUGUGAGCAUUCUUGAUAAUAAAGUCAAAUGAACAGAUAUUGCUUCCUACAUCAAUUAAGAGAUAACAUGACCCAUCUAAUAGUUAGCUCCAUUAAUUGCAACAGUUACUCAAAUUCUUUCAUUACCAACAACAAUUUCAAGCAAUCUAGGUAAGCCUCAUUGAUUGUCUACGUGGUCUUUGUGUAUUCUUAUCCAAAAACAUACCCAUCAUUGCUGUCAAUUGCUUUGAGUGUGCAUAAGAAUUAUACAAGUAUUCCAUACGUAUUCAUCACCUUUCCCUAUUCAUUAUAUUUCGUUCUUACUCGAUCAAGAACAAAGUUUACUAAAAGAAUAUUGAUAUCCACUAAAUCACUAAUUUACUGCAAAAAAAAAAAACUCAGGGUCCAUUAACAUCCCCCCAAUAAAAAUAAUAAGAAGAAGAAGAAGAAACAAAAAGAAGAAAGCCAUCUUCUGUCAAGAAAGUCAUAAGCAAUUACUUCCUCUACCUAAUCCCUCUCCCUGCUUGUCUAAGUUUGGGAGAAGAAAAACUCAUCUAUGCACAACCAAAUUAUCAUGGAAAAUCCAUCACCAUUUCCCAGUCAUUGUCUCAAAGAAAACAGUUUAGCAGGUCCUUGUCAAUUCCUGAGAUUGUUAGGGAAAAUAAAAUAUUAUAGUAUGAGUUUCCCUGUAUAUAUAUAUAUAUAUAUUUUUCUCUCCUGAAAGAGACUAAAUAAUUUUUCUGAGCAAAAAAGCAAGUGGUAGACUCCAAAGCUACUCAAAUGUUCAAAAAAGCAUUCUAUUCUAUCUAUAUACAGCUGUACGAAAAAUCCAAGUCAUGAUUAUGAUCCAACACAAAGCAACAUCCUACUUGGAUACAAAGAUAAGAAAACCAACCAGUUCCUCAAUACACAUGGCAUUCAUCAGCGACAUAAUGAGAAUUUAACCGCAGAUGUUUUUUUCUUUUUCUUUUUUUUCUGUAAGCUUGUAUUCAUAUCUAAACAGAAGCUUUUCAACCAAAAAUCAUGAUAUGAAAAGUUGAAGUACUCAAAGAAAUGCUGUCAUCAUAAGAAAAAGCAGAUCAGUUAAACAAAAGAAGACCAUCUUUUUAUCUCCCAGGAAGAUAUAGCAGAUGGUAUUUGGUGAAUCCAAAGAAGGCAAAGGACAAAAAAAAUGCAAAAAAUAACAUACUAGAAAAUCAUUGAAUUUCAUCAGCAUCCAUAAAAGGUCAAGGAAAAAUAAAUGGCAAAAUUGAAAUCAUUGGCCUCCAUUCCAAAUGUAAAGCAUCAUGAUUUCAAAGUGCAUGACUAUAUAUCUUUAUGCUGAAAACUAAGAUGAGAAGUUUGUAUUCUUUGAAAAAUAUGCUUGCAUUUUACUCUCUAUCACACAUUCUCAAUCUGAAGGUUGUAAUAAAGAACAACUCGAGUUUAUUGUCUCAGGGAAGUAUCCAAGUCGGUCAAAAAUGGUGGCGUUAAUGUCUCAUUACACCACAUGUAAAAUGUAAAUAAUCACAUGAUCGGGUGGAUCACAAGUUGACCAAACUGAAAAGUAAAUGAAAUUAACUCACGCGCAAAGCUUGUAAAGAUAUUUCAAGUUUCAACAUUUCUCAUUAAGAUUGUGUUGUACAAUCACUUGUUACUCCAAUUUCAUGAAGAGUUCAGACGUAACAUCAGAUUGCAGAAUAUGUUGAAUUUGUUGAUUAUAUAUUGGUGGUUCCAGAAGGAAUGGAAGCAAUCACAUAUAAGGAGAUAUAGAGCCAUUAGCUUGCAAUACCAUUGAUAAACAUAAAAUUUGCCACUAUUAUAAUUCACAUAGAAAGCCGACACUCUUAUUUCCACCUACAUGAUUGUAUACCAUCAUAAUCAAUAACAAGUUUGGGUAAAAACCAACAAAGAAUGGGGGAAAAAAGGGAAAUGUCUUUGUCUAUUAACAUGGAUGACAAAGUGACGAUUAGCUGCAGAUGAUGACAUGGUGCCACAGAAGUUAAACACCUUUUCACAGACCAUCAAGAGUUACAGGUUGGCGCAAGAACCUUUAUUUGAAGUGCCCGUGUUUUAAUGGACAUAUCAAACACCUUCUCGCCAAAUUCUACAACUAGACCACCAAGGAUGUUGGGAUCGAUCUGGCAAAUACAAGAGCAGUGUUUGAAUUUCUCAAGAAGGCAUGCUAUAUUCAUAAAAUUGAAAAACCUAAAAAAGUUUCCAAUCAAAGUACCUUCUGCUCGAGCUUAACCUUCUUGCCUUGUCCAAUUAUAUCUUGCAUUGUCUCCUUCAAUUCUUUCUCUUCUUGUGCUGGAAUGGGCUGGUAAAUCACAAAUCAGUUGUAAUGUGUAUUGAGGUUUAUACAAUUUAAUAUUUUAUUUUACUUUUGUCUGGUUAGAACACUGAAAUCCUAAAGCCUUGUUUAGUAACCAUUUUGUUUUUGAAACCAAGCAUAUAGACAUUACUUCUACUUCCAAAUUUUUUCACUUGUUAUCUACUAUUUACCAAUGGUUUAAAAAAUCAAGUUAAAAUUUAAAAACUAAAAAAAAGUAGCUAUUAAAAACUUGUUUUUGUUUUUGAAUUUAAACUAAGAAUUCAACCAUAGUACUUAAGAAAAAUGCACAUCAUUGUAUGAAAAGGGAAGAAAAUAUGAUUGAUUGUCAAAAGCCAAAAAUGAAAUGGUUACCAUUACCAAACAGGGUCUAAGGAGAUAAAACCCUAUGAAGAACUACAACGCACCGAGAGCCAUGUGCUGAUUCAAUAAAAAAACCAAUUAAUUUUAAAUAUCAACAACUCUACUUCUCCAAGUAUUUUAUGUGAUUAACCUUUUCAUAGAUGAUCAACGAAUUGCUGAUAUCAAUAGGCUAGAAAUAUAAACAGAAGUAAAUUAUUGCAAAAGGCUUCUAAACACACUUAUAUAAAAGGCAUCCUGCGACAUCCACAAAUCAGUUGCCAAAUUUAAAUGGGUUAUCCGUCAUCCCUUAGACACAGAUAUCACUUUGCAUAAGUUAAUGCUAAACAUAUUCAAUCACUUCGCACAUUGAACUCUGUAGAUAAGAAGUUGGUUUUUACCUGAACUAAAAGAAAACAAAAAGCACAGUGAAAGAGAAGCUUACAAUAACAGUUGUAACAAUGGCUUUAACUUCUCCCCUAUGAGCCAUGGUCAACUCCAAGAAUUUCUUUGCUAUGCUAUCUACAUAUCUCAGCCUCCCAUUCUCAGCCAGGACAACUACAAUUACGAAUCAUAAAAAAUCCAAGUAAGAACACACAAAAGACUCCUUGAAGUGAUGCAUUUUAAAAGCCAGUAUCCUUAUUUGCAGAGCAUGAGUACUUCAUCAAUUAGAACAAAGUGUAAGAUGCGUGAGUCGAUGAAAUUUUAAAAAAAAGAACCAACAAUCCCAUUAACCAUCUCAAAUAUCUCAAAAGCCGUAUAUUAUAACACUCACUUCUUCAAUCAUGAAAGAAAAAAAUCUCCAUACCUCUCAAGCCGGAUCUUAUAUAGGGUAUGAAAUAAUACAAUGACAAUAUGACAAUUAGUAUAAAGUAAGAAAUAGAAAUUGACAGACAAUUUGUGCCUCACAAAAGGAGCCAAAGCUAAAGUCAGUUUUCAUCCACACAACCACAGAAGAGCAAACAAUCCUACCCAAAAAGUUCUCUACAAUGCCUUAACUCUAGUUUUCGCUGGAAUUGACAGGUCCAUUGUGAACUGAGAAAAUGUAGGGCUUUUCUUAACAGCUUGGACAAGGUUAACAAGUUCAAAUUCCACCUUGUCUAAAGAAUUAGCUUUUAUUGCAGCUGGAUACAGAGCAGAGGCAUAGUUUCCAGACCCUCCAAACAAAGCAAUAGGCACCUGCCAAUAUAGCAGAUAAGAAAGCACGCUUGUAAAUUAACUUCAACGAAUGCCAGCAAGAGACAUAUAUUGCCCAUGGGAAAUCUCUUCUAUAAUCACCUAUAGGUGUUUGGGGAUUUCCUCUCUAUUUCAUUUAUCCAAUGAAAUGUUCCUUCUCGAAAAAAAGAAACAUAUAUUGCACAUGCACUCUAAGUUCCAAAGGACAUAUUUGAUAGUAAUUCUAGAAAUCUGUUAGCAAAAUGAUAUAUGAGGAGUUAAGAUAAGUAAUGGUAUACCUUCACUUUUCCUUCAUUUCUCCCUGAUGCAGCGGUAUAAGUUCUUGAGAGCUGCAUCAAGUUAGUAAGGAAAUUAUUGAGGUGAUAUUACCAUAAUCAGACAAAACCAGUGAAAAAGUCAAGAAAUCAUCUGUAUUCACGGAAACAUCGACCAAUAUCGAGAGAAACUGAAAAUAGAAGCUCUAAACACCCUGUCAAACUUGUUUAGCAAAGAAAAUGACAUCUUCAAUUUGCUAAAAAUGCAUAACCACCCUAAACACGAACCUCAAAUUAUACCAAUUCAUCACAAAUUCCACGACUUUUCGAAACGUUACCACCCACCCACAUACGCACACACUCCCAAUACACUAGCUCAGAUAAUCAGAAUUAUGUCCUCAUGAUCAUGAUUCCCUUUCCACUGGCAACCGAACAGAAUAUAUAUAAGUUCCAGUAAAUCCUAAACCCAAGAAUACAGAGUACAAGGCCUCCACAAUUGAGCGGAAGGAACAGGAGAAGCAUAUUUGGAAUGGUAAGGAAAAGCGGAAAUAAAUGUGAGGGACAGAGAAGAUGGAAAAAGUGAGAUGGAGUAGGGGAGUACAGGAGGAUUGGGAUCUCAAACCUUGGUGAGGACAGAGAUAGUUGAUUUGAUGCGACUAGCGAACGCCAUUUCUGUACAGAGAGAUACCCUAAAUUCUCUCAAAGGCGGGAUUGGAGGGUUGGAAGUUGGAGGUUGAAGAGAAGGUUGGAGGUUGAGGAGGAGGGGGCAGAAGUUUGAUUUAUAUUCAUUUGAGUAUAGUGUGUAGUAAGUUGAUAUUGUAUAUAUAAUAUGAUCACUUCACCGUUUCUCCGUUUCUCCGUUUCUCCGUUUCUAUAUUUGAAGUUUUCAAAUUUUCAAGAGAAUUGGACUUCGAUCUUUUUUAAGAUUUUUAAGCUAAGAAAUUCCACUUUUGGGCCUAUGUUUCAAAAAUGUCCUUUAAGUUUUAAAUUAUUCAAUUAAGAAUUUUAGAGAUAAUAAUUUAGAGUUUUACCCUUUUCACUUUGAAAGGGAGAUAAUGCAAGUUUUCUUAAGAAAAUAAGACAAUACAUUUAACAUAUUUUUUUCUUAUUUUCAAUUGAAGUGAAAAUCAUUUAAUAUUUAAUAUAAAAAAUUUUCACUUUCAUUUUGACCGAAAUUGUUAGAUUGAAUUUAAUUAACAAAUAUAUCUACGAUCUCUCAAUAUUUUUACUCCGUUUAUUUCUUGAUUUCUUGUUCGUCGAUCAAACCAUGUUUCUUUUUUCGUUCGUCGAUCAAACCAUGCUUCUUUUUUCGUUCAUUUUUCGGUUAAGUUUAAAACCUUUUCAUCUCCCGAUUUUCAUUCUAUAUACAUUGUUUUGGAAUGAUUAUUAUUAUGAAUUUUUAAAUUUCAAUUGAUAUUUUCUAUAUAUUUAUUGAUUUUGAUAGGAAUUCAUUUUCAAUUUAUAACAACUAUAUUACAUCCAAUUUUUAAAUUUAUUAAUAUAUUUAAAGAUCAUUUAAUAAUUUUACCUCCUUCAUUUUCAAUUUAGGAAUUCAUUUAAUAAUUUUUAAAUUUAUUAAUAUAUUUAAAGAUCAUUUAAAUCAUUUAGUCAUUUGAUUUUGAUAGGUAUAAAAAAUUAGAAUUGAUUUACAUGUUAGCUGAAUAUCAUGAAUGUAUAUUAAGAAAGAAAAAAAUAUAUUUAUAUGUAUAUAUUCUUAUCAAGUAAAACUAACAUUCCACUAUAUUAUAAUAAUGUAUAUUAUUCAUAAUUUUCGUUGAAUUACGGCAUAAUAUAUCAUAUUCAUAAAACAAUACUAUUCUAAUAUUUGAAGUUUUGUUUCUAAAUUAACAUUUUUUUAUAUUUGUUAUAUUUUUCAUUGAAGUCAAUCUGAAACUACACGCUUAAAAUUGUUUUAAGUACUUUCGGAGAGUAUUGAAUUAAUCUAUCAUAAGCACAAUGAAUGACAUCUUUAAGGUAAUUUUUGUGAGAAAUCCAUUCUUCACUCUAACUCAAGAUUUCUAAACCAUUGGAAAUUUUGAAAUAAACUCAAACUAAUCUCCUAAUAAAACUAAAAAUUCUGGUGAAUAGUCUUUUUUUUUCUGCUCUUCAAAGAUGGAGCCAAUAUUUCAGUCUUCUAGUAAGAUACCAAUGGAAGUGGGAGGCCUUAUAGAAUCUAAGAGAACUAAUUAGUGUCAACUCCAUGCACAAAAAUCAACCAGAAAUGACAGUCCUAAUGUCAAUUGUAAAGCUUCAAAAACUACCAAAUACUUACUAUCUAGAACUCGUUUGUUUCAGAUUUUGGAUGAGUGCGUGGCUUUCAAGCCGUUCCCUCUUCACCAGUGUCAACUCCAUGCACAAAAAUCAACCUGAAAUGACUGCUCCUCUAAUCCCAAAGGUAAAGCUUCAAAAACUACCAAAUACAUGCCAUCUGAAAACUAGUACUUGAUUUCCCAGAGCAAGGAUGAAUGUGAGACAUCAACCGCAUAGAUACAAUCCGAGGAGAUGCACUCCGACAACCGAUGAGCCAAUAAUCUCGAUUUUAACAAUGACAGUAACCGAGUAUGUCGUGCCUGUUUCCUUGUCAAUACUUGCACGUAAGCAUUUAGUCCUAGCCAUUCAACUUCUCUAUCCGCUAGCUGCAGACUUGGACGUGGAAGAGAAUCAAGCUGAAUAGAAGACAUCUUAUUCUUUAUGAGCACAUCCAUGUACCUAACCACAUGAAAGCAUGAAUGGGAAACGGCGGAAAUAUGUUCAGCAAACAUCAAUAAUUAAACUACAUAGGUUUUCGACAGCAGCUGCGUUAACCACGAGCAUGAGACUGACCUUAGAGAUCUUAGGAUGAUCUUUAAGAGAAAAUUUCUGCUGAAUUUGCAUAUAUAUGAUAACUGGCAUAUGUAGCAAUGGAACUUCAUUGCACAUAUUAGAAAUCCUUGGAAAAUGUUUAAUCUCACAACUGCAGCAGUAUUGAUAUUCAUAUCGUAAAAGAUCGGAUGACAUUUGGGCCUUAAAUAGUCACACAGCUUUUCCUUUAGAUUAUGUCCAGGUUUUCCUUGCCAGGAAACGGUUAGGCUUGAACUUAAGUGGUUAUUCAAAUACCUGCCAUAAACAACACAAGUUAUGCACAUGGGAAAAAGAACAUGUCAAAUGACAUAAAAUUGGCGCCUGAUGCUCAACAGGAAAAGAAAAAGAAAAAAACAAAGUGCUGCACGAUUAUGAAGUAGCUAAGGUCCAAAAGAAAGUUAAUUAGUUAUGAAAACUUAAGAAAUUGAUUUUUAAAACCUAGUUUUAGUUAUUAAAAUUUAGCUAAGAAUUAUAAUGUUUCUUCAUGCAUGGUAAAAACUACAGUAAAGGAAUCGGGAGGAAACAAGGAUAAUUUUUUAAAACAGAACCACAGAAACCAAAAUAAUUAUUAAACUAACUUUUUGUGGAUCAUAACCCAAUACAACAUCGAUACAAAUAAAAACAAAAUUAAAUCAUGAAUGGCACCUAACUUUGUGUAAUCUGCCUGAAUUUCGAGAGUCUGACAGUUGAUGAGCAAACCAGCCCAUCGAAGAAAUGAAACACCAUCUUUACCAACAUGCACUCUUUUGGAGACGAUUCGAUAUGUAUUGGCCACAUCAAAGUUCAUACCAAACUUACUUUCAUUCAUGUAGCAAUUAUAUGCCCGGAAUCCUCUAUGAACUCUGCAUAAGAAUUUUUCUGCCAGCUGCUUCGAGGACGAUAUGAAAAGGAAAUCAUCAAUAAAUCUAAGCAGCAUAUAGCCAGGAUUUGUUAUCAUUUCAUCCACAUUGCUACUUGGGGAAAUAGAGGGGUCAAAACGAUUUUGUCUCGCAGAUACUUCAUUAGCCCUAGAUGCAAUAACCUUUCCAAGAAAUGGAAAAAGUACCUUCCUCUCUAAAUCUCCAAAGUACAAUGAGCAGAGAAAAGAUGACAAAACACUUCCUUGAGAAAUACCUGUUUUUUGUAUGUAAAACUUUUUAUCAAAUUGCAUAACAUUUCGCUUCACGUGCUCAUGUAGAAUACGAAUGAAGUCAUUCUUGUUUACGAAGCUGCUCCGUUCCUACAAUAAUUAGAUAACAAUUAGAGAAGAAUCUUAAUAAAGAAAAAUAUAUAAACUCGCUGAGAACAGGAAGAUCCAAUGUCCUAUUGUUCCAUAACCACAUUUCAUGAAUAAUGCUUUUAUUUUAACAAGUAAUGUUUCCAUCUUCCUAAGGAUGAGGGGAAAAUGUGUCAACUUAAGAGAAAUAAAUCAAUGCCCGUGUUUAGUCACCAGCUUCAGAAUGUUGAUGCAAUAAAGUAACAUUUCAACUAAUGUCCUAUGUAUUUCCCAAUGCCCAUAAUGAGUCUCAGAUUUUUUAGAAAAAAGCCAAUAUGUUGAUGUUAUUGCAUAGCAUAUCUUGGACUAUUGCAUUGUGAACUAAGUAGAAGCCUAGAAUUGACUUCACCACCAGAAAAUUUAAAGUUUAAGAUAAACUGACAUUUUUGGUCAUCUGAAGUUUGGUGUAGGUUGCAUUUGAGGCCCUGAGUUUUCAAACUCGGCAGCUAUAACCCUAAGGUACAUCCUAGGUCCCUUGUUCAUUUUUCCAUUAAUUAAUAACAAAAAACUAACAUGACACAUUUUUAUAAAAAAUAUUGAAAUAAAUGUUUUUCUAAUAUUUGAAUUAUAUAAAAAGGCAUAAGUUAUUUCGCUUUUCUCCUAUCUUUCUCUUCCCUUUUCUUCCUCCUAUCCUUUUCCUUCUCCCAUUCAGACCGUAGCUAGGACCAUAAAUCGUGAGGGUUAGAGCAUUAAGGGCGAAGUUCCUGCAAGUUGUGUAUCUGAAGUUCCCUUAGCCCUCACACUUUGAUGUAAUUCAAGUCUGGAUUUAAUUUCUCAAAAUGAAUUCUCUGCCUCUAAUGGCUAAGAGAAGGGGUAUUUAUUAAGAAUGUGUAAGUAGUUACAAGUAGUUGAUAUAACUGUUUUUUAUGAAACAGUUUUAACAGUUAACAGUUUAAACAAUUAAACUGUUUUACUAACUAUCUUCAGCUGUUAGUUAACAGUUUAAACAAUUAAACUGUUUUACUAACUAUUCUAUAUUACAUCACACUUGUUGGCUAAACACUUUCAGAUCUCAAUUCUUUUUAAACGGGGAAGAAGGAAGAAUAGGGGAAAAAAUUAGUCACCAGUAAUAGUUGGUGGCAACUAGUUUAAAUAGGAAAAAAAGAUGGAAGGAGAAGAUGUAGCAAGAACAGGGAAGAGAGGUGUAAAAAAAAUUUGCAAAUAGAUGGUAAUAUUUUGCUAUAUUUGUAAAUAUUUUGGUUCAUUUUGCUAUAUUUGAAAACAAUCCAUUUUUUAAUUUUUAAUUUUGGAACAAUUUUUUUUUAAUAAAAUGAAGGAGAGACCAAAGGUGCUAACAAAAGCAAACCUCAAAGAUAAAAUUAUUGAGUUUGAAAAUUCAUGGACUCAAAAACAACAUAAACCGAACUUCAAGGACUAAAAGUAGCAUUUUACCAGAGAUUAAAGAGCCAAAAGCUUUUAAAUUUUAUCCUGUGUGUAAACAUGAAUCGCUUAUUAAUGUGUGCGUGGAUGCCCUAACGCAGUUGGAUUUAGGAUUUAAAAAAGACUAACAAUAACAAUAAAAAAAAUUGCCACAGUAAACAGAAAGCAAAUCAAAGAUACUGUACAGAUAUUUGUGGUUAUAAUGGGGGGAAAACACGAUGGUCAUCCUUCAAAAGGAUACUGUGAAUAAAUUAUUUAAAAUUUUAAUGGAAAUAAGAAAGUAGCCUAAUAACAAUCUGGCUUAUGGGACAAAAGCAUCGACUAGCUCUUUACCACAUCUAAUCUUUGCUAUUUAAAAUGUUCAUGUAGGACAAGCAGCAAUACAAUUUCAGUGAAUCACAUAUAAACUAUAAAUAAAAUGAAGCUACAAAGUUUGGAUUGAGAACAGAGAGUAACUUGUAGAAAGCACCUGAUUAACAAGGACGCUAUGCAAAGAACGAAAUUGUGAAGAAGAAAAUCUUGGACUGAUAUUUGGAUCAAUCAACAUUACAUUCUCAUGAGCCCACAUAGUCUUCUUUGUGCAUAAAAUCUGAUGGUAUUGUUUAAGAUGAUACUCAUCUUUCACGAUAAUGGUUUUCAUCACAUCAAGCAGCUUAUCUUGAUCAACAGAAUCAAAAGCAUUUGAUACAUCAGAAACAACAAGGAAUAAGUCCGGCAUGGAAGCUUUAGCCUUCUUCACGCUAGGUAAAAACAGACGUAACUUUUGAUAGACAUCAUUGUAAUCAAAUACUGACGAUCCCAAUAGCUCUGGUUCUUUUAACUUAAUACCUUUCAGAACAGCGUGAGUAUCUCUAAGAACAUUAUUUACAGACUUGUAGUACUUAAACUUGACGAGCUUUUUCCCUCCAAAUCGUCCACAAGACUCACCAUUUUCUGUCGGCAUUUUUGAAUAUGCCUUGAGAUUUGCCAGAAUCCUUACUCCAUUUUCUUUUGGACAAAGCCUAAGUUUGGAGAAACCAAAUGAUCUAUUUUUCAGAAUAUCUCUGACAGUCGAUUCAUUCAAGUAACAAUAACCUUUAUUUUUAAAGCUAGUCGUGGCACCUUUUGUUAAUUUUUCCCAUAUUGACUUCCGGAAAAAAUAAACAUCUUGUCUCCCAAAUUCAGUUUCAGUGACAUAGAAGUGUGCUUGUAUCAAUGGUAUAAUCAAAUGUGAAAAUAACCAAUAAAUCCAACUUUCAAUAACCCUCCUCUUCUCCUCAGAGUUCAACACCCUACCAUUCUGGCAACAUGAACUUUUAUCUGAUAAAAAUGGAAACUGUAAGGUUUUCAAUUGGUGCAUAGCUUGCUUCAAGGAAAAGCUUUCAAAUCUUCGUAAUUUUACAAACUUGGAAAUAUUUCUCCUUAAUGUUCUCCAAUUAGAACAGGUACCCAGCAUAUCUUGAGGAACUAUACUCCGACAAACAGCCCAUAUGAAUGCGACCACCUGAUUUUUAGGGCAAUAGAAUUUCGCUGCAAAUUGAGGAUCAAUUGCUUCUAGAUAAUUCUUGCUUUGUAUGGCAUCAAAACCACUGGUGUCUUCGCCAAUUUCCGUACUCAACUUACUUCCAUGGCACUGAAAGAUUUUGAUGUCUUUAUAAGCAAAAAGAUUUUAGCUCACUGAAUAGUACAAUAACACAAUAUCAAACUUUCAUAACUUUCCACUUGGGUUUGACGAACUUUAAAAAAGGAGAAGGUAUUUGUUAGGCCUCAAAUAUUACACACUUAUAAAAGGAGGGGCAAGAAAGGAAUAUACCAGUCGAGACUUAUAGAAAUGUUGAGAGAGAGAAUUCCACCUGAUGGGCCAACAGUGAAGAGUGAGUAUAAAGAGAAUGUUUAGGGAUUAGAGAAAUAGGUUUUUUGUAGUAAAGGCUGCUGUUGCUUUUAUUGGGGAGAGGUUUCCAGCCUUCUCUAAGGAGCUUGUCCCCAACCCUAGGAAAGCUUGAGUUCUUUAAGGGUUUGAAAGGUCAGGUUUCGAAUGGGUUAAGAUGGAAAAUUUACUCAAGGAAGGCUUUGGAGGAUGUGUUAUGGUUGUUUUCAAAGAAGAAAAAUUAAGUUAAGGUUGCUAAGGAGAGUUUGAUUUUUAGGUUGAAAAAGAAAAAAAUUCGGCCGAGUGUCAAGGAAUUGAGGACUAGGCAUUUAGAGGUUAAAAGUGGGGUGUUGGGAGGCCAAAAGAAGGGAAGAUAACUAAAGAGGUUAUUAAGCGUUUUGGGCUUGAGGUUAGGCGGCCAAGGCUUGUGGGUGGCAUUAGGCGAGCAAACCUCCAAAGGAGUGUCAUGGGGCGGUCAUGGUUCACUUAGACGAGGAGACCUUGUCAUUUAAAGGUUAUUUGGGUGUUAAGAGGCUUAGGCAAGAUGGCUAGGCUGCAUGGUGUUGGGCGAGAAACCUUGCACGCAAGGGGGUCGUGCAGCCAUGUUGAGAGGUUAGCAUGGCGCAUGGUGGAAGCCUAGACGUUUUGCUCCAUGUUAGGCGUUUGGCUUGAAGCUUGGGCAAGAUGAUGAGACGAUGGCAAGUCGGUGAGUGCUUUACAGAUGUCCUCUGCAUGUUUAAGUUAAAUAUCGGCAAGCAGGUGGUGUCAAUAAAGGUACAUGCAAUAGGGGAGAAUUUCUCUCUUUCUUACUUGUGUGUUUUGGCUCCAAUUACUCUCAAAAGUUCACAAAUUGAGUCUAGUUUAUAGACUAGGACUGCCGGACAAAUUUGAGGCAAGAAGGAUUAAGUUUGAGCUUAAAGAAAGGGAGAAAGGUCUUUCCCAAAGAGAAUCUGAGCAAGGUGCACUUUUCGAAAGCCAUGUAAUUCAUCUCUUGGAAUUUGGAGCUGAAAAUUUGAGAUCAAGAAAAGAUCAGGAAAAUUUAUAGACCAAGGAUCUAAAACUUGUAUCUGUGAGUGAAAAAGGAAUUUACUUAGUGAUUUUGAAUCAUAUUUCUUAAGCUAUUGUUUUAAGUAUGAUUUAAGUUAAAUGUUUGAGCUCUCUGAUUAUUGAAUGAUUUCCAAGCAUGUGAUUUCAUGAAAGUAUUUAUUCAAGCAUGAUUGUUGAAGAAUGUUUAUGGCUUUCAAGGAUAAAGAAGUUUAUCAAGGCAUGGUUAUGUUUUGAGGUUUGCUUAAAUGCAAAAGAAUCUUUUAAAGGUUUGAAGUACUCUUUCCAAAACCUAUGAUUUUAUUCAUGUUUUAUCUUAUCCAAGAUAUCUCAAACAGCCCUUCAGCGUAGGUUAAGGGGAGCCAAGGAAUUUGAGGUAAGGACACUUAUCUUCAGGAUCAGAGCUAGGGAUGCCUAUCUCCCAAGAACAGGGAUUGCGGAUGCCCAUCUCAGAGGUUUAGAGUUGGUAUUGAGUUCACUCUACCAUCUCCCAAAAAUAGAUACUUGGGUUACGACUAGGAAAAACAAGGAUUUGAUUUAUUGUUCCAAAAUAUUUAUCAAGUUAAAGUAUUUAUGUUUACUGUUUAAGAGGUUUAAGAAUUGUUGUUUAGAAACCUAUCACUCACUGAGCUCAUUUACCUCACUCUUCAAAAUGUUUUCCACUUUCCAGGUAGAGAUCAUGUCCUCAGAGUCUGAAUCGUUAUUAUCUGUUUGCUUAAGGGUUUUGUCUUAUUAUCGUACGUGUCUUGCUAUUUUGAAGCUAUGUUUAGUUGGUCUUUUAAUUGUAACAGACUUAGAUUUAAAAUAUUGGAGUUAGAGUCUGAUUCUAUGUAUGGCCGCUGUUAAAUGUAUGUGUAAAACGUAUAUAAAGUUUGUUUAAUGAAAAGGGUUGCACUCAAUCGUGUUUAAGUUAUGUGUGUUAGCUUCCGUUGGUGGUUCAUUUAAAGGUUAAAGGUUAAAGGUUAAGAGUCAACUGGUGUCAUCAAAAGGGGAGCGAUAUCAGUUGACUUCACACUGUCUUUCGGGUCGAAAGUAGGUGAUCCAGGAGGGGGUGUGACAUUAACAAUAUUUUCAUAGUUGCAUUUGUACCAUUAACGAACAAUCCAUGAUAAAAGAACGUUAUUCGUAGAAUAGAAGUAACAGUUAAUGAUUUAAAUGAAUGACCGGUAAUACCCAAGUCCCAUCAAAUUUAUAGUUUCAUAAACAUCAAUAUACCUUCUAAUGCUUUCCUCAAAUAGUACUAACCUCAACCAUGGAGCCUGUAUUUCCCGUGGAUAUUUGUUCAAAUGAUGGGGCACCACAGUGCUUAUCCAACAAUCUAUCGAAUUGACAAUUACGACUUCUACGUAUCAGAACUUUGAGCAAUUUGGUAAUUGAAUGAUAUCUGGAACCAAAAUAUUCUUUCAGAAAAGUAUGUCUUGAACCAAAAGCAUGAAAUCAGAAAAUAAGCAAAGGUCAGAAUAUAUAAGGAGUUCCAUUCAAAAACCUAUGGGCCUUGAUAGUGACAGCCAAGCAACAGGUAUCAAUCUGUUUUCCGCAUCCAUCCUCAAAUAUCAAACUUGUUUAGGAAUAUUUCAUUAAAGAUAAAUGAAUAAAUAAAUAAGUCUUCGACACCAGUAGUCGUGCAACGCUAUCAUUAUUUCUUUUUCCCUUCGCAAGUCAAUACCUUCGAAUAUGAGUUCUCUAACCUCUUUCAUUCAAAUAACGUUCAAUCCCAAUCUCCUAAAGAAGAGACAUGCCUGACUAAGUGUUCAGUUCCCUUACCUCUAAUAAUAUCAAAGAAGGUACAACUCCACUUACACGCAUUUUGAUUCAAAUGGACAGGUGCCACUGUUGCAGAAGAGUAAUGAGGAAGGAGUAUUUCCAUUUGCAUUGUAUGAACCAAAUAUAUAUCCAGCAAGACUCUCUGAACCAGCAAAGUUUGGCCUAAACGAACCAAGUAUAUCUGAUGUUGUAAAAGAACACAUGAUUUCAAGGCCCAAACUGUAACAGACUAACAGUGAAAUGAAAUGUAAUCAAGGAACGUCAAUGUUUUCCAGUAAUAGUACUAAAAGAAGAUGACGUUUACUAAAACAAAAUAAAAGUGUGAGACAAGAAUUUGCCGGCAGGAUUGGCCACCAAUGAAUCAUAAACCAAAUAAAGGUUGAACUGGCUACUAUUUAAACAAUAAAUAACAACCAUUUCAAUGGGAUGGGCCAUUUCACUUGAAAAAUAGUUUGCAUCCUGAAAAUUUCUGCAAUUACAUGUGUUAGUUUUAGGUUCUGGAGACACAAAUCCAGUAUAGAUUUCAAAAGGCUCACAAGCUAAUAAUAUAAGAACCACCAAAUAAAGAAAUGUUAAAAAUCAUGAAGCAGCAAAUAAAUAUAGAUAGAAAGCAGUAAGAUAACUAAAACAUAGGAUACUUCCUUUCAGAACAUUUGUUGAACUGUCCAGGUUGUAAAACAUAGAUUUCCUGUUAAUGUAAACCUCUUUUGUAAUCUUUCGAGAUUGCUACAAUAAAAAACCAAGGCAUUGGUAUAACAUAAAUAAAUCCAAGGUCGGAUAGAAAAAGGCAAAAAGUAAGUUAGAAAAUGUGAAGUACAAAUAAGAAUUCCACAGUUAACAGAUCUAUAUCACUCAAUCUGCUAUGAACAUGCACUGAAUUUACUAAUUCUAUUUUACCAUUGGUUCCAUAGUACUCGUUAUUUAAACUGGAAGCAAAUGAAUUCAUACUUAGAGCUAAUUUUGAAUUACACUGCUUUUAAUCACAAAGGACAAACUUCAGACUUCGGAGCACGAGGAUGGAUUAAAACAAAAUUGUUAAAACAGACCAUUUUUUUAGUGGUAUUUAACCAAAUAAACUUUAACGCUAUAAUUUAGAAAGAUAUACAAGCUACACAUCAUAUACUUGCCAAAAAAAUACAUUGUAGUAGUUUUUCCCUUGCAUGUGUUGCAUAGUUCUGUGAAGUUUGUUGUGUCAAAAUAGUUAAAAAGGUAAUAAUAACCAUUUAUUAACUUUUAAAACGGUACUAACUGAGGAAAAAAACGAGGAGAAUGAGGUUUGAAGAAUUUCUGUAUUUAUGAUUUAAAGAAGUAAUAAAAGAUGGCAUUGCAUAAGCAGCAAUGCAGACCCUAAAAUUGGCGGCCAAAUACAGGAGCAUGACAUAACCAACAUAUGUAUGCGUAAAAGGUAAAAGGCUGUGGAAAAUAUAACACGCCAGUAAAGACACAGCAGACUAGACAUAUAUGAUCACGUGAUUCUGGUUGUUUACUAUAACAACUUUUGAGGGCAGAUAUCACAUGAAAAUAAAAAAGUUGAUGCCUUUUCAAGAUAACACCACCAGCCUUCAAAUCGUAAUGUUUUUAUCAGUUUUAUGUACUGCAUAAAACUGAAUUUACCAUGUGGGAGUGGCUGUCUCUCAACUGAUGUGGAGGCUUCGCAUGCAAGGUAUUCUUACCAGAAUACGUUGAUGUGCAAGGAGUCGAAUUACAAUUAUUCACAGGACCUAAAAGCCUACGCUUUCUUUCCCGUUGCCAUUUAAAUGGCCUUCGUCGCUUUCCAAGUUCUGUAACAGACUGGCUAGACUUUUCUGAUUGCCCAUUUGAAUUACUUUCACGGGUCGGAUUAGGCAUACUGAUCGAUUGACUUAUUAUGUUUGAUAAAUGGGACUGUUUGUCCUCUUGAUGCCAGCAUGAUGAUUGAAAAUAGCUACUUUCACACCCAGAAAAAUAUCUGGCAUGAACGGGAGGCAGAGGAUCAUUGAAGGAACCACUAGGUUGACCACCAUCUCUUUUCCUCUUCUUCUGCAGUUCUGAAUUAAAUUUGAACGCCAUUACCACAAAAUUUCUUGUAAUCUUUUAAAUUAUAGAUCACAUAAUACUCGUAAAUUUGGGAAAACACUUGGCAUUUCCAGAAGGGGAAAACUAAUGAGGACGAGAUAAAAAAAAUCACAAGGAUGGAGUGAAUUCAUUGACAUGAGCAGUGUGCCAGUGGUUCUAUCUUAGAAUUAUUAUAAUUAAACUGGUCUUGUUCAAAAUUAAGAAUAAUUGGGAUGACCUCUUUACCACCUGUUUUUCAUUGUACUACCAAACUUCCAUAGCAGAUAAAUGAAGGUAAGGUAACAGAGGAUAUCAAUUUCAAAUGUUAUUUGAAGAACAAGACAGAAUUAGAUGCAAAUGGCAUUCAUUUAAGAACUCUGAGAUAUAAUAACUACAAGUCCUGCUUAUCAUAUUUACCAGAUAAAUUGCGUUGAUUUGAGGAACCAGUUGAAUAUUCUGACAACUUAUUGCACAAAUCAUUGAUGGGAAGACCUGCCACCUGAUGGUGCCUCUUCCGUGAUGUGGGCAAGAAUAUUGAACUAUUCAUUAGCAGAUAAAUCAUCAUCUCAUCCCUAACCUGCCAAUUUAAAAUCACACACAAAUAUGAGCAAAUAACAAAGAACCAUUUUAUAACUUUAAGAGGAUGAAAAAUCCAUAAGCACAGUGUACCCUGCUUAAGAGAAGAUCCCAGGCCGGACAAGUUAAAAGAUCAACAAUGGGACUUGACAGGGCGAGCUGAUAAAAUUGAACAUGAUUGGUUAAUCAUCAAAUAGGCAAAGACUAAAUACCAAAUAGAAAUGUUAAUGUGCAUAUCACCUUCAGCCAGAUAAUAAAUCUAUCAGAACUAAUGGUACACCUAAAGGCAUGUCUAGUUCUUGGUCCUAAGAAAUAAAUAAUGCCUCAAUCAAAUCUUAAUAUAAAAUAGAAUAGAGCUGACUCCAAACUUUUUUCAGCCAAGAGAAAGAUAGAACACUACGAAUGAGAGAGAGCUACACAAAGGAUAUUUCUACCAACACAAUCUAUGUACACGCACAUAUGCAUAUACACAUACAGAGAGAGGAGAAAUACAGGAUUAAACACCAUAAAAAUUAUGAUUUGUUUAGAGAAACAGAAAUCGUGAAUUCUUACGGUAUUAAAACCACAGCAUAUUAAAUUGCUGUCAACCGGCUGAGUACUGAUUAGCAUUUGGAUACACCUCACCACAAUCUGUAAAACGUAAAUAAAAUUUAAUAACAAACAGCUGAUAAAAAAAACUGCUCCAAAACCCUCUCGUAUUCAUAGAAGUCCCACAUAAAUCUGCACCAUUUCCAAGGUUGAAAGCAGCAGCAAUGGUAAUUAACAAGAAAGUUAUAGUUUGAACAGAACAUGCCGCAAAAAGAAAGUCCACUUCUCUUUUCCAUUAUAUGUAGCUUGUAUUAAAUAAUGUCAGCACUAUUGGCAGUUCCACGAAACGUAAAACGAACCUGACGCUGAGACCAGCGCGAUUCGUUUGAAAAAUCAGAGACUGGAGACGCCUUGUCAGAGAUAACGACGUAACACUGAGUCAAAAGCUGUCGAUAAUGAGAAGGAUCGUCUGGUCUCAGAAGGAAACCGUCCGGAGUUGCAGCGCUGCAACGAAGACAACGGCGUUUGUGGCAGCGGCAAUCGGGGGGGGGAAGUAAGGAAGUGAUGGUGUCGGCAAGGGUGCGAGCGCGAUGGGAGAAGAGACGCCAUAGAACCUCUGGAACUGGACGCUUCUUCGUCAUUUGGAAAAUGGAAGGGAAUGUGAAGAGUUGGUUUGCAGCUAUGGAGGGAGAAGGAUCAGUGGUGAAUGCCUUUUCUUUGGAGUAUUUUGCCGCCUUCUCUUCACAAAUAAAAAAAUAAAAAGUUUAGAUAGUAAAAAUAUACCCAAACUCACACCAAUUCAAGUUUAGGGUGUAAUCAAUACAAUAUUAUCAAACAAAAAUAACGUCUGAUUGUCUUAGCAUGACUAUUUUAUUUUUUUUAUAAACUAGUACAAAACAUGUGUGAUGCGUGUAAAAUAUAUAGUAUUUUAAAGUAUGAAAAUAAUACAUUUUAAAAAAUCACAAGUAUGCUAUAUUUUCAUUUCAUUUUAGAUAGUUUGUAGCUAAUUAUAGAUGCUUAAGUGGAUCAUUUAAUAACUAUUAUAAAAUUAUUUUACUCAACUCAAAUUUGUUUACUACUUUUGUUUAUAACUAAUAAACAACACGUGUGAUGUACAUGAAAAUCACACACGAAAAAGUUAGAGUCUUAAUUUAACUUUAUAAAAUUUUAACAGUCAUUUCAAGAUUUUCAUAUUUAUAUAUCAUUUUCAUAUUCAUAUCAUAACGUGAAAAAUAAAUUUAUUCAUUAAAAAUAUAAUGUUGUCAUCUUUCGAAUGUAUUUUUUAAUUUGAUUUGUUUGCACAAUUAAAAUUCAAUUUCUUAACAUCAUGAACUUACAUGUUGCAAACUUAACAAUCUAAUAUAUAUAUAUAUAUAUAUAUAUCCAAAUAAAAUGGAAGACAGAAAGAUUGUUAGUUGUGUAAUAAUACAUGGCAUUGUGUAAUAUCAGUUAUGGAAGAUAAAAAAGUUACAUUAUGGCCCUAAUAACAUAGAGCAUUAAUUAAUACCAGUUACGAUAUCAAUUUUUUUUCUUUAAACAAGGGUAUGAAAAGUUAACAAAGUGUAACUUCUACACGUUGAAUGUGAAAAUGACCACAAACAUUAAAUUUAUGUGAAUGAUAAAAAUUGUCACCAAAGCGAGACUAAAAAAUUAUAAUGAAAGGGUAAAACAUUUACCAAAUUCAUAUUUCUUUUAAAAUUAUAAAAUUAUAAAUGUGAAAUCAUAAUCUUUUUUUUUAAUGAUUUUGGAGGUAAGAAAUUAAAUUAAAUAUUUUAAUAUUUAUUCGUUUACACAUUUUAUUAUCUUUAUUUAUAAUUAAUAAAAUAACUCUAAUAAAAAAAUAAAUGAAAAAAAAAAAACAUGAGCAAUAUUUUCAUAAUUACAUUAAAAAAUGAUUCUCAAUAUUGCAUGAUUUAAACAUAAAUAGCAUAAACAUACAACACGUCAACCACGAAAUUGGUGGUUCAAGUUUCUUAACCUAUUUUAUGUACUAAAAGGAAACCGAUAAAUAAAUGAAUAAACACAAGCAUAUUUCUAUAUAAAAAAGUAGACAAGAAGAAAAAAAAUCGAGAACGUAAUUAAUUACAACUAUCACCGUAUUUUAAAAGUAAGUUUAACAAAAUGUCGUAAUAAUGAUAUAGAUUUUUAUAAAUAGAAUAAAACAGCAAAAUGUUUAUGGUGCAUAGAUCAAUUUAAUAAAAAAUUAUUAAAACUCGUUAUUUUUUCAUAAUUACAUAUUUGUCUUCACUGGUGUAUAAGAAUUGAAAAUUAUGAUUAUCUCUCUUAUUUUCGAUUUUUUAUGCAUAACUCUAUUAUCUUUUUUAUGAUAUUCGACGGUAUUCUUUCUUUUAGUCGUCUUUCUUACUCUAUUAUGUAAUUUUUCUUUUAUUUUUUUUCAAAUUGUUAUUCGGUUUAAAAUCGUGUCAAAGUGUUAUUUGGUCGUUAACACGUAUAAAAGAUCGUGAAAAAAAAAAGUUAGCAUAUUAGAUAGUCAAAUUUAAACACAAAAAAAAAUGUUUUAAAAAUACAGACUUGGGUGGCUCAAAUUUAAACGAUCGUGUUGCUAUUUUUUUUAAAAAAAUUUCGUAUAGAUUUGGGAAGCUAAAUCUAAAAAGAUAAAAUCUUAAACAACUGUUUUCCAAAUACGCUGAUGUCAAUUAUUAAGACAUUUUUGGAAUUUUCUAGUGUGAAAUAGUGGACUUUUUACGUUUUUGAAGUUGUUAUGUGUAAAUAUUUUAUCGCUUUGUUCUAAUUUUAAAAAUAUCCCUAGCCUAUUAUUUAUGAAUUUGAUUAUAUAUUUGUGUCAUAUUAACUUGGGUAUUGCCCGAACACUUAAUAAUGACUUUAGUUAAGUUAAGUAAUUGAGAAAAUGAAAGCUAAUUUUCUUUAGGCAGAAAAAACCAAAAUUUAUAGUUUGAAUUUUCAAAUAACUAUUAACAAAUGUGAAGUGGGACAAGAUGAUGAACCUAAAAGAAACAAGUGUCUUCUCGAGUCUACUUUAUUCCUUUUUAGUUUUGAAUUAUUGAGUUUAGUUAUUCUCAAUCGUUUCUUAUUAUGUAAUAUGCUUUCUUAAAGUUUUUUUUAAUGUUCAAUAUGUUACGUCAACUGUGCCAAAAAUUUAUACUACAAACUUAUAUCUAUCAACAUCAAUAAUAGUUAAUUAAUUGGAGUUUAAUUUAACUCAAUAAAAUGUAUAAUUUUGAUUAAAAUGUUUGAACCAUUUGUUUAUUCUCAACUCCAUAUAUCUUCCAUAAAUUUAUGCAUUUCAAUAAAUAAGUUGUGAUCCAAUUUUUUUAAUAAAAUCAACAAUAUUCGAUGUAUUUAUAUGGAAAAUUGUAUCAAAUGAUAAAAACAUUUAGAAAAAAAUAGUUUGUGGCAUUUUUUUAUUUUUUUAUUUUGCGAAUAUGACAAAAUUAGUGAUAUUGGCUAUCAGACGGUAAUUUUGGUAGAUGACUUUUAAUCAUAGAGUUAUCGAAUUUUAAAUUUGUUAUUUUUUCAAUUUAGAAAGUAAAAUUAAAGUAGGGAGGAUGUGAAAAGUUUGAUGCAAAUGGGUUUUCAUUUACAUCUUAUAAACUAAUUAAAAAUCAAAUAUUUAUUGCAUAUAAUUAAGCGUACAAAUUUAAAAACUUGAAAGUUAAAAAGUUUUUGUAGCAUUUUUUUCGACUAUAUAAAAGGUUUUUUUAUUUUUUUCUACCAACUUUUUUGAGUAUCUACAAAACUUGUAUAUUUUGAAGUAUGUUGAUUUAAGUGUCAACAUAUGAAUCUUAUUGUUUAAUUAUAGAGUUCAAGUCUUACCAUAAAUCAGGGAGAAUCAAGCAAUCGAAAAUAAGUUUUUAUUCCACGAAUAUCAUUAAGCUCACCACAUAGAUGACAAUGGAUAUCCAUUAAAGUUCAAAAGAAAACAAUUUCCCAUCAAUCUAUGCUUUGCAAUAUAAUGACAAUUAACAAAGCACAAUAACAAAUAAUUCAUAAUGUUGAAAUAUAUAUUCUUAAAAAUGUAAUUUCUUAUGGACAACUUUAUGUUGCACUAUCUAUAAACAUUUCAACGAAGACAACACAGUUAUGGAUCAAGCUCAUACGUGACAAUAAAUUACAAAAAAAAAAUUGUUUAUUAUUUUUUUAUAUAUACAAAGUCUUACAUUUUAAAUUUUCCACUUAUAAAUUUAGUACAACCCAAAUAUAUACCUGCAACGUUUAGUAUCAUCUAAAGGUACGAGCCACUGGUACAUAAAAAGUCAUAAUCUAGAAUAUAAAAAAGAAAAAAACCAUUUUUUAACGUAUUUAUUCUUCACUUUUUAGAACAUCACAUCUAUGUCAUUAAUUCAACCACAUUAAAUAACUAAUAUAAAAUCUAUUAUCUAUUAAGUUUAUAAAUAACUACAAAUUUGAAAACAAAUUAUUAAAAAAGAAAUGUAAAUUUUUUAAUAUAAUAGUUAACAACCUUAAAAAUACUUGAAAUAGAAAAAAAUACCAAUAGUCAUCUUCCUUUUAACUUAACAAAAUGAUUAGAACAAUAAAUCUUCCACUAAAUGAGUUUACAUUCUCAACAAUUUAUUUUCGUUUUACUUUUUUUAAAAUAUAUAAAUUAAUCACAUAAAAACACUUUGUUAUUAAUUUUUCAAUAAUUUUCUUAAUAAUUAAUUAUUAUUUCCUAAACCCCUACAAAUAUCAAUUAAUCACAAAGUUAAUAAUUAAUUAGAAGUUUUCAAAAGAAAAGAAAACUAUUUACACAAACAAAAAUUAAUUAUAUAUACUCUAUCUACCAUAUAAAAUGUUUCGAAUCUGAAACCUUCUAUAACUUAUUUAAAUCGCUUAUCUAAAACAUAUAAAGGUUUAUUCUUACAACAAAUUUGCUCUCUCCUUUUAAUUUGUUUUUCCUUAUCUAUUAAUUUUUUUUAAGUUUUUAGAUUUAGAAAAUUGCAUCCCAUUUGUUUGUAACACUAGGUUGUAAUAUUGCAAAAUUAAUUGAAUAGCUUAUUAUGAAAUGUUAGUAUAUCUAAAUAAUGUUUUAAGCAUCACAUCACACCAUAAUAACUUUUUUAAUUUAUUUUUCAUGAGUUUUAUUAAGUAUUAAACACACAAAAAAAAAUCAAUUAAAAAUAUAUCGUCAUACUUGUACUUUAUUUUUUAUAAUAAAUUGAAAACAUUAAUAUGAUUGAAAUGAAUUUGUAAUCCAUCUACUAAGAAAAUAGCAAGUUUAUAUUUUCUAUAUAUAUAUAUACAAUCUGGGUAUAUAUAGGUUCCUAAACUUAUAUAAUGUGGAUCGGAAUGUUUGAAAGAACUAGUAAGAGCAAAAAAUUAUUUAAAAUACACCAUAAUAUAUAUAUAUAUAUAUAUAUAUAUAUAUAUAUAUAUAUAUAUUUAAAGAUAAGUUGUUAUUAUUAUUAGAAUGUAUUUCAUAUAAGGUAUGGAAUUUAGAGAUUGGAUUAGAGCCGGUGGUAAAAAGAUUGAAAAAUAUCGGAGUGGAGCCCAACUGUGCGGUCUCUCCCACUCUUCCAUCUCCAUUUGCAUCAGCUCCAUUCUCUAAACUUCCACACCGCUUUCUCUCUCUCUCUCUCUAUCUCUCCAAACUCAAUCCAAAACCCCCAAAUUCUACCUUCUUCAACCCUAGAAACUCCCAAUUUGCUUCCGGAAAACCCUUUCUUCUCCCUUCAACCAUGCUCCAAUUCUUCUUCACCGUCGCUUUCUCCGCAGUUCCUCUUACUCUCUACGUUCCUCCACUCCGUAGCUUCAAUCUCUUCGUCGAGACCAUGGAGGAGAUACUUCGCGAGUCUCGAACAUACACCAAUCGAGUCUAUCCCCGAGCUCGGCAUGUUUGGUUGAGGGUUUUGGAUUGUAUUCUUUGCAGCACCAGGUAGAUUGUUUUUCUUCUUUUUUCUUUUCAAGAUUUCCCAACCCCAGGACUCUCAUCUCUCUGUAAAUAUUCUUUUCUUUUCAUAAGAUUUGAUUGAGUGUGGUUUGUGGUGCUGACUCCUCAUACUCUUCUUGCGGGAUUCCGUUGUAAAUUGCUUCAUGUAAAAUGUAAGAGGAUGUGCUUCUACUUAACUUUUAGAAAUAAAAUAAAAUAAAAUGAAGAGAUGAUGUUCACAAGUUAAUAUGUGUUAGCUGUGAUGUUCGGUUUCUCUUCUUACAUUUAAUUUUAUGUUUUCGAAAUUUGUUUUGCUGAAUCUUGGGAGUGAAAUUGCUUCACUGUCCUGACUUAACUAGUAGUUUUGAUGUUAUAUACUUAUGUUGAUUCGUUUACAGUUGAUGAAUUGAUUGCAAAUCUGAAAAUGGAAGCUCCAGAUUUAGAUGAAUUUAUUAACUGUAUUUUGAUGCCUAAAGUCUUUCAUCUAAGAUUUUAGGCAUCUGAAUAAUUGGGUUAUUGGGUGCUUGUGAAUCUAAUUGGUGUUUAUUCCACAGCAACUGCAGGAUUGAUUCCUAUGAAGUUGAUUGGAUGGGAAUAUCAGAUUGUUGGCCUAAAUUCAUACUUUCACUUCCAUUUUUUGUCUGUUUUCUAAGGUUGUUUUCAAAAUGCCAAAAUUUGAUAACUCAAAAAUAGUUUUUAAAAGUGUAUUUUUUGCUUUUCCAAUUUGACUGCAAAUGCAAAUAUUCCUUAAUAAUGAUAAAAACUACAGUAAGAACAUAGUGUAAAAACAACACGAUUUUUAAAAAUCAAAUAGUUAUAGAUUUUCUGUUUUAUUUUUCUUACAUUGAGAUUAGGUUAGUACUGAAAGAGGAAGACUACAAAAAUACUAAACUUAUUGAGUUUCCAGCUUGAACUAGAAGUUUAGAGGGUAUUUUUUGAGCAGCCCAAGGCUUUAUUACUAAGAUCUUUGUUCACUAAAAUCAAAAUGUUACAAAAUUCAUGCUCCCUUCCUAUACUGACUCUGUUAAUUUAUUGUUUAAUAACUCUAUAUAUCAUCAGCCCCUUUACAACACAAAGUUUCCUUUUCUCUCUCUUUUAAGUUCAAUGGAACUUUACAAUACAGACUGAUUUACGAUUUAUAGGCUAAUUAUCUCAUACGAAUUCAUGUAUAGAUAAAAUUGCUUGUUUUUGUCUGUUGGGGGAUCACCUUAGAAUGGUACAGUGCAAGUAUUGUGUAUGUUUAUAUAUUUCAUUGGUGUGGAAAUGAAAAUGGGAAUCUGAGAAUAAUUUUUGAUAGCAUGGUUGUGUAUAAGAUGUUUGAGUAUCUUUUAUCUGAUGCAAAACAAAUACUAUCACCAUGAUCGUCCUGAUAGGUAACCAUUUGUUAUUUUGUCUUUGAAGAUUAAUUUUACAAGUACUAUUCCCACCCUUUGUUUCUAUAUCCUGUUAUCCACUUUCUACUCAAUUUUUAAAACUAAUUGUAUUUUGAAAGAAACGAAAAAUUGAAUUUAGGUGAAAUUACCAUUUUUAAAAUAGAAAAUUGAAAACAAAAUUGUUAUUAAAUGGAUCAAAGCAAAUUUAUGUUUUUUAAAGUAUUGGUCUAUUAAAUGGAUAUGCUCAACAUUGGGAUGAGUUAUUGUUUGCUAGCAAACAAAACAUUGGGUGGUUACCCAGAAUCCAUUACACUAGAAAACAAGGUGGUAUAGCAAUCCUUCUGGGGAAUUUUGGCCCUUCCAAUGUAUUAAGCUGAUUAAAGGCCUGCAAGAAUACAGCCAAAAAAAUAUGUUGUUUAUCCUGAAAAAUGUUACAAAUUUGGUCACAAUAAUUCAAAGUAGUCAUCCAAUGCCAGUUUCUGUUUCCUGAACGUUAUUGUUUGAUCUUGAUUUUGUUUUAGUUUAUUAGGGGUCCGAGGAUUUGGAUCAUAUAUCUAUGUAUUAUCCAGAAAUUUUCAUUUUAGUUAAAGUAAAGUUAUGCCUGUUUUGACUUCAACUUUUAUGUAUUCGUUAUGAUUACAUGAAAAUCUCAUAAAUUGUCCCUAAAUUGCCUAGGCAGAAGCAGUUUCAAGAAUCGUUUUUGGUUUCAAGGUUCUGAUUCUGAAAAUGAGAAUUUGUGAACUAAAUUGAUGCUCUACUUGAAUUAUUGAUGCAAAGUUUGUAAUUUAUUUAACCAAAUUAAAGUGCAAAAAGAAAGUUAUGGAAGAAGCAAUGUUUUCUUCCACCUCUUUUCUUUGGGUUCAACAUGUCUAGAAAGAGUUUUGCAAUUUUAAUCUCUCGGUUGAGAAUAAACAAUAGUUUUCCAACAAAAGGGUUUUACACUCAAUGAAACGAAAUCUAAACAAAAGAUUUGGUUUAUUAAAUAAUAGUAACACUGUGUGUUCAUGUUAAAACAUAAUUGCUCCAGCUAUGUAGCUAUAUCAUUUAUGUGUCCACCAUUGCUCAAUUAAGAUUUAUUAACUUGUGAAAAAUAAACUUUAAACUUAGUUUGUAUGACCUCUAUCGGUUUUCCAUUACCAUAGCUAGUAGUUGCACUAAUCUUUUAAUAAGUUAAUAAUUAUGGAAUCAAAAGAAAGAUACUGAAUGAUUUUAGAGGGGAUUUCAUCUAUUCCUGACCAUUUCUCCUUUUAUUUCUUUAUUUGUGAGUGUGUGGCCAAGGUAGGGCUCGACCCUACUACAUUUUCUAUUGCCACAAAGACUAAUGAGAUAUUAAAAACUAUAUUCGGCUGAUAAUUUGAGUUAGGAUUGUUUUCAAAUUCAUUGAGUAACAAAUAUAUUUGAUUCAAAACUCUUUAAAAGCAAUGUUUUUAUUGUAAUUUUAAAUUUAAAUAUAAAAGUAUUUAGAAUUAAUAGAAUGUUAAUGAACCAAAAUAUAGUUUAAUUUUAGAUCCAUUAGUGAUAGAAUUUUGAGGUAAUGUAUUAUAAAUUAAGUUAAAUUACAAAUGUGGACUUUCUAAGAAGGAGAAAGUUGGAAGAUAGUUUGAUGAGUAGACUAAAUGCCUAAUCUGACUCAUUCUUUCUAUGAAUAUUCUACACCUUUUACAUAAAUUAAAAUAUUAAUUACUUAAAAGAAAGAAGGGAAAAAAAGAAAGAAAGAAAGAAAGAGCAAUACCAUGUCAUCAUCUACAUAACUUUCUAUAAUUCACUUUAAUGAUUGAAAAGAUGAAAAAUAAUAUUUUUGUAAAUUGAGAAAAGGAAAAAAUUGGUGACGUCCGAAAGAAAUUUAAAAAAAAGUGAGUAAAACUAAAAGAGGGUUUGCAAAGAGAGAAAGAAAGAAUGAAACAAAAGCAAAAUCCAGCGCAGAAAAAAAGGGCGAAAAUUGCCAACGACGAACGUGAGUGGCUCUUCGAUUUCCCUCCAAAUAAGGAGGUUUCUUCUAAAUAUAGCUCUCCAAAUUCAUCAUCCCCUCCUGCUUCCACCUAUAAAUCACACCCAUUCCACCCUCAUCUUCCUCAAGCAGCAAAGGCGUUUUUCGGUGAUUUCAUCCUUCUCUUCAAUUCCCCUCACCCAAUCAAACGCCAAAACAAAUAAAAAAACGCAAUGGAGAUGAAGAAGAUCGCCUGCGCCGUCCUCUUCGCUGCCGCAACCGUCACCGCCGUCGUAGCUGCAGAUGAGGCCUUGGCUCCAGCACCUGGACCAAGCAGCGGCGCUGGCAUUGGUGUCCCGGCAAUUGGGUCUCUCGUCGGCGCUUCCUUGCUCUCCUUCGCCGCUUACUACUUGUAAUUUAAUAAUGGAUUUGAUAGUGGGGAUAUUUAUGAAGUGGUGAGAGAUUUGGUUAAUAUGCAUUUUAUAUGUAUAAUGGGAAUUGGGAGGAGGAAGAAUUUUGUUGCUGCUGCUGAAUUCACACUUUAUCUAUCAAUCUAUUUAUUUAUUUAAGCAUUGUUCUUAAAAUUGGGAAAAUUCGAUGAUUAGUAAUCAAUUAAUAAUAAUACGUCUCUUUAAUUAACAAUUUAACUUUUGGAAAUCAAUCGCCUAUCUGAUCUGAAAUCAAUUUGGAUUAUCCAAUCCCAC
rnacentral:lncRNA from 1 species